rnacentral:lncRNA from 1 species
UAUUUUAUGGAAAGGUUCAUUUCUACUCAAGAACUAUAGUUUUGUUCCUUAUAUUCCCACUAAAGAUUUAUCGGACCAAUCAACUCCAAACUAAUUUUUCUUCUGUUUGAGCGACUACAUUGUGAUGACGCACACAAUCACACGAGGUCGGGACAGCGGCCGAGGCCUUCUGAAGAUUGAGCGGAGCACUGAAGGAGAAGGGUGGAAGAGACAGAUGGUAACGUGCAUGGCGUGGCCCGUCCAAAACCGGGAAUGAGAUAACCCACUCCAAAAAAUGGUUUGCGCUAAAAGACUUAGCAAAAGAAGUGAGCCGAUAAGAUGGUUUAAGGCAAUUGCAAUGAACAUUGGAGGGAACCCUAUGAUGCUUCUGGGGUCCAUCUCGUGGCUUCGGAGCCCCCCCCCCCCNNNNNNNNNNUAGCGGGGCACUGAAGGAGAAGGGUGGAAGAGACAUAUGGUAAUGUGCAUGGCGUGGCCCGUCCAAAACUGAGAAUGAGAUAACCCACUCCAAAAAAUGGUUUGCGCUAACAGACUUAGCAAAAGAAGUGAGCCGAUAAAAUGGUUAAAGGCAAUUGCAAUGAACAUUGCAGGGAACCCUAUGAUGCUUCUGGGGUCCAUCUGGUGGCUUCGGAGCCCCCCCCCCCCCAAAACCCAACCNNNNNNNNNNNNNNNNNNNNNNNNNNNNNNNNNNNNNNNNNNNNNNNNNNNNNNNNNNNNNNNNNNNNNNNNNNNNNNNNNNNNNNNNNNNNNNNNNNNNNNNNNNNNNNNNNNNNNNNNNNNNNNNNNNNNNNNNNNNNNNNNNNNNNNNNNNNNNNNNNNNNNNNNNNNNNNNNNNNNNNNNNNNNNNNNNNNNNNNNNNNNACAAUAAGCUAGCUCUGGUUUUCACGACAGCUUUUUUUCUUAGUUUCAAUUUUUUUUUGAAAAGGAGGAACAAAGCCCCCGGCUUCUGCGUCAAUCGAUGCGUGCAGCUGUAUUAUUAAUAAAAUCCAAGAGUAGAGUCAUAGGUUUGAAAAGAGCUCACAAUCUGAGCAUAAACACAAAUCUAGAAGUNNNNNNNNNNNNNNNNNNNNNNNNNNNNNNNNNNNNNNNNNNNNNNNNNNNNNNNNNNNNNNNNNNNNNNNNNNNNNNNNNNNNNNNNNNNNNNNNNNNNCUCCUCGUGUUCCCAAAUGUGUGACACACACGUGAAAGCUAGGCCCUUGCUCUCCCGGUAGGUGUUGGAUGUGUUCUUAGCUCUCUGGUUCGCCCCUCCACCCAUGACCGAGGCGCCACCCAACACAUCGACUCUGACACUCAACGCCCACUUGCAUCGUGGACCCUGGGAGCGCUUGUAGAGGUAGAGCCCUCUCUUUGAAUUAGACAAUAGUGUGAUGUAAGCGGAUUAUAAGCUCCCUAUUAUACUUGCUCUAAGGUCAUGUCAUAUGCAUGAUGAUGGAAGUAGCUAUGUCUUAAUGAUCUUUUAAUACUAUAGGUAAACAGAAGGACAUGAAUCACGGACGAAGAUCUUAAGAUUUGUGGUUUUUAGUCCUCUCUCUAUUUUUUCACUCGGCAUCAACAUGCACUUGACUACAAAUAUUUGACCAUUAGUCCAUUACUUUUUUGAGGUACUUAAACAUUACUUUUUUACCAACUCAAAAAAAAUGGACAUAAAACUAUAAGGAAAUAAAUUUUAAUUAUACAAUNNNNNNNNNNNNNNNNNNNNNNNNNNNNNNNNNNNNNNNNNNNNNNNNNNNNNNNNNNNNNNNNNNNNNNNNNNNNNNNNNNNNNNNNNNNNNNNNNNNNUCAAAGGCACAUCACAAAAUUACAACAAUUUUUGACUUCAUUUGGUAUAUUUCGUGCAUUUACUUAUUUUUUUUGAGCUAGUUGACCCUGAAAUUGAAAAGCACUACAAAUGAACACUGAAAAUGUUGAAAGUUGGCAUGCUAUCAUCAUUUCACCCACAUAGCAUGUGUAAAAAAGUUGAGAGGGCCACGACAAAAACUGGAUGCACUUCGUGUACAAAACGGACAAUCUCUCUCGAUAUCAGGGUUUCGAACGAGAACUCAUCUCUUACAAAGGGAUUUCAUUUUUUUGAACUUAUUNNNNNNNNNNUAAAACGGAGAAUCUCUCUCGAAGUAUCAGGGUUUCCAACGAGAACUCAUCUCUUACAAAGGGAUUUCAUUUUUUUGAACUUAUUUGAACUCCAUACUUUUUGUGUGUUCAAAAUGCACCAUUAAAAGGCACAUCACAAAAUUUCAACAAUUUCUGACUUCAUUUGGUAUUCUUCGUGCAUUUACUUUUUUUUUGGGCUAGUUGACCCUGAAAUUGAAAAGCACUACCAAUGAACUCUAAAAAUGUUGAAAGUUGGCAUGCCAUCAUCAUUUCACCCACAUAGCAUGUGUUAAAAAGUUGAGAGGGCUACGACAAAAACUGGAUGCACUUCGUGUACAAGACGGACAAUCUCUCUCGAAGUAUCACGGUUUCGAACGAGAACUCAUCUCUUACUAAGGGAUUUCAUUUUUUUGAACUUAUUUGAACUCCAUACUUUUUGUGUNNNNNNNNNNNNNNNNNNNNNNNNNNNNNNNNNNNNNNNNNNNNNNNNNNNNNNNNNNNNNNNNNNNNNNNNNNNNNNNNNNNNNNNNNNNNNNNNNNNNGAUACCUCCUUAUGGUAGCUUGUCUUUGAGAAGACGCAGCGGGGCCUGAUGACGGAGAAGCGGCGACCAGACCCAGACGGCGGGGCGACGAGCCAAGGGAAGAGGACAGGCCGGAGUGCACUUGUCUGCGGCGGGGGNNNNNNNNNNNNNNNNNNNNNNNNNNNNNNNNNNNNNNNNNNNNNNNNNNNNNNNNNNNNNNNNNNNNNNNNNNNNNNNNNNNNNNNNNNNNNNNNNNNNNNNNNNNNNNNNNNNNNNNNNNNNNNNNNNNNNNNNNNNAGUCGGUGGGAUCGUGCAGGCGGCCGGAGACGACGGCGAGCAGCUCGGACGGGAGCUCCGCCCAACGACGGCGUCGCUGGGGCGCCGGCGGCAUGUUUGGGUGGAGUACGCGAGAAAGAAAGAAAGAUGGAUCGGCGCGCGGCUGCUAGCUAGGGUUUCUCUUCUCUUCUAAUGGCAGGUGCUGGCCGUUGAUACACGUUUGGAUAUAUCGAUCGAUACCAGGCUGCAGCUCAAUCGGUUUCAAAAAUACUAACGAGCCCGUGUACCUUGAAAACAAAAGAAAAUAAAAUCUAAAGAGCCCGUGAAUAAUGCAUCCAGAUGCAUCAUGCGUGAAAUAGGUAUGCUGAUAUACAACGCUGUAAGCACUAAUCUGAUCAACUCUCUCUCUCACUCUCGCUAUCGAUCAGGAUCACACACACACGGUCACAGGAGCUCGAGAGGUUUUUGGCGAUGCAAACAACUUGCAUCAUUUUCUGUAUUUCACUUCUACUCUUAUUCAGUUACAGUCGACCUAGAGCCACCAACGGCCCGAGCAACGCCAUACUGCUUUGCAUUGCCAUGUCAAUCUCCACACUUUAUCAUCUUUAUUACUUCAUGAAAUAUUUGAAUAUUUUAAUUAAUUUUCCGGUCUCCUUCUUGGAUAAUAUAAUUUUUCUAAUACAAGACUAAUAUUAAAUAUAGAACUGAUUAUAUAAUACUCCUACACGAUAACCAUUUCAAAUACCUGAUGGAUAUGUUUUAAUACAAUGAACAUUUUUAAUACAUGAUCAACAUUUUUACAACAGUACUUUUUUAUUAUACCUGAUGUAUUUUCUUUUAUUAUACACACUAUUUUCAUUACACGAUGAAUAUAAUCCAGUCUGAGAAUGUCAACACUAGAUUCAGAGUAUCGAAUGUCAACGUUUUUUUUCUUUGUGAUGUUCUUGGGAACUUUACUUGCCGCAGUAGAGACUGGAUUCAGAGUGUGAAUGUCAACACUUGUGUCGAAAUUUCAUAACUCCGAAAAUUACUAGGAGUAGUAAAAUCGUUUGAUGUGCCUGCAUGAAUGGGUUGACGAGUUCGAGUGGCGGUUAUACCUGGGCAUCUCUGGCUCGGCCCCAAAAUCCAGAGCCUAGGCCCUAUGGGAUUUUAAGGGAGAGACCCGGCCCACGGCCCCAAAACCCGACGGGCUUUUCAACACAUAGGCCGGGCUUGGGCUUCAAAGUAGGCCCGAUGGCAGGACCAGUGCCUCAAUUUUCUGCCGUGGCCUUUUUAAGGCCCGACCCAAGCCCGGCCCGGUCAGGCCCAUGGCUAGAUAUAGUGACGAUUAAGAAUGAUAAGCAGACCACACAUUGCCAUGAAUCUGUCUACCCCUGUACAUGUCAUGAACACUAGCGGCGAAGAUGCGCGGCGCACGCCGCGCCUGUCGAAAGUCUCAUUUAUAUUUCGAAUAAGUGCUUCAAUUUUAUUUUUAUUGCAUGCAUGUAAUCUUUUUCAUGUUUAGCUGGUUGGGAUUUUUUGGGGGUUUUAUAGGACGGAAAGGAGGUGUAGUUUCGUUUUGGCACGAUUCACUGGUGUAAUAAAGUUAUUUAUAACACGUUUACAUCCGUCGUAGUUGUCCUUUUGUUUGUACAUGUAGAGAUGCUUGACUUGUUUUUUUGUAUAGAGCAACAAAGACCAUUGCCGGUGGUGUCCAUUUCAUGUUCUUAAUAGAAUGGAAGCGUUUUAAGGAUCAUGCGGCCGAAGUUUUGAAUAAAUCGUGAUUUAUUGAUGGCAAAGAGUUAAAUAGUACAGGCAAGGUACACAACAAAUCAUUCUGAAUACAACGCAACAAAUUGAAAUCUUUAGUGUUUCGCCUUUUUUGUCCUUGCAGAAUUUCUUUAACAUGUGAGACCUGGCGAUAUUCAAUAAGAGAAGUGAAUCAGUGUUAUAUUAUUUUUAAAUUUUAUUAUUUCUUAUCUGAGUGCAGGGACUUCUUCAUGCAUGACCUGUGUGUAUUAUAUUUAUAUUUGGUCUGUCAUAUCUUCAUAAUAUUCAUCUGGGAGUUUUAGCAGGCGAACAACGCUAGAAUCAGUAGCAUCGAAGGUGUUCUUUUUUGUAUGUGUGAGUAAUGCUGAUAGAGUGAAAUUUCUCUUAUCGUACAUGGUGAGCGAAGGAUGGUGGGGUUGGCAAUGAUCAUAGUGGCCGUAGAGCUUUAAUAGAUCAUAAUGCAACAGUGGGUAAUACAAAAAAAUAAAAAUAAAGAAAAUAAUCGUUAAUCGUAGAAAAACUCAGGUUUUCCCUUUUGUAUUUUCCUCGGAUUAUUGCUUAUGCGGAUGCAAUGUGUUGGUAUUAUUCUGGUUUACAAUAUAUGUAUAAAGUUUUUUUUAUGGAUGUGGGUAUAUUUCAGUUUAUUGAGUGGGCAUGGAAACACUGGUCAUGCGAAGCACUGUUGCAUAGGAAGUGUCUGUUUUGGAAAUAAUGGUUCGGUUUAUUCGGGUUAUCUGUUCCAAUUUGUAAGUUUUACUGUUCUCUAAAAAUAAGAUAUCACUCAAACUGUUGGAGAAAAAUAAAUCUUGAGGCAACAAUCCAUAAGAAUAAAUAUAGUGAAAAAUAAUCGAGCAAUACCAUUUUAAACAACAAAAAAAGGCUGACACGUAAGAUGCGAUCUUUUCUCGGAUUUCGGCUUCAUGGUUGGAGUGGAAAGACAAUCAAUUUAUUAUUAAAGAGCAAUGCCAUUAGGUAAAAUUCAUUAUUAGAUAAUAUGUAUAUUUUUUUCUCUACGUAUUUAAGUAUUCCAUUAGAUUGGUAUUCAUUUGGUUUAUUUUUUCCUCUACGUAUUUAACUAUUCCAUUAGAUUUGUGUGUUCCACUUUAGGAAUUAUCUAUAUAUAAGUCUAAAAGAUAGCAUGGUAUAAUUGUAUUAAAGGAAACCCGUAGACAAUUUACUAACCAAAAAAAUAAUAAUAUCGGAGUACUUGUACGUAUAAGAGAGUAAUAAAAUAUACAUAAAGAACAUUUUUUAGAAAUAUAAAUACCUUUGACGAUAUACAGUACGUAAAAAAACCAUUUUUAUGAAUAUUGUUCAUAAAUAAUAUAUUUUAUAAGAAUAAUACAUGGUAUGAUUCAUAAAUACUAAUAAUUAUCAUGUUUUCUGUAAGUAAGAAAUCUCCUUUUUCUUUUUAAACACUGUUCACAAGGGUAUUGUUUACAAUAUGAUUACACGUAAAUAGGCAGUGAUGCAGGAAAAAUGAGUUACUGUUUACACGGAUUAAUCACAAUCGAGUUACUGUUUACAUCGGGUUACUGUUCAUCGAUGUUGACAUCGACGUAAAAAUGAACAGUGAAUGGUAAAAAAAAGAGUCAAAAAAACCAGGAAAAGAGGAUCGCUGCGGCUUUAGUAUAUAGUAUAUACUAGCGGGGACAUGGCCUAUAGCCCCGGCCCGUAAGGGGCUUUAGUCCCGGUUCACCAACCGGGACUAAAGGGGCGGGACUAAAGGCCUAACCUUUAGUCCCGGCCCUGUUCUAAGCCGGGACCAAAGGUGCUCCACGUGGGCGCCUCGGAGCGCCCUCAGGGGCAGGCCCUUUAGUCCCGGGUCUUAACACGGACCGGGACUAAAGAGUUUCAGAUUUUGUUUAUUUUUGGGUUUUAGGGUUUUAGGGUUUAGGUGUUCGGAAGAUUAACGUGAUGCCUCGUUUGAUGUUCGGGAAUUAGUUUUCAUAUAAUUCUAAAUAAAAAUAAUUAUGCAUAUAUAUAUAUAUAUAUAUAUAUAUAUAUANNNNNNNNNNNNNNNNNNNNNNNNNNNNNNNNNNNNNNNNNNNNNNNNNNNNNNNNNNNNNNNNNNNNNNNNNNNNNNNNNNNNNNNNNNNNNNNNNNNNNNNNNNNNNNNNNNNNNAAGCGAGCAUAUAUAUACAAUUAUAUGGAGAUCUGAAUUAUCGGGACUCGAGCCUGUCUAUUCGAUUACAUGGACCAACAUCACUAAUGGCCCCUAGCUACACUAAAUUGUCCUGUGUCAUCUAUAGCUUCCGUCCUCAGAAAGGUCGCAAGCUCCUCUGAAAGAACAAUCGCGCGUUACUCUGGUAGGGACUUCUCCCUCAUGGCCGUGUACUAUAUAAGAAGAGGAGAUGAAUAUGAAUAUCAAUCAUGAUAACAAAGAAUGACGGAUAAAAAUAGAGGUGUGAAUGUUCAUUGUUUACGUCGUAUCUGUGAUCCUUGUGCUCAGACGUAAGUGCGAAUGGUCUCGCAAACAUAGUAUCCGCAUAGAUGCGUCCCCCGUGGUUGCUGGUCGCACUUUACGAUAAUAGAUAUAUAUAAUCAAAAUAAUAAUCUAGCAUCAUAAAUGUAUUAAAAAUAAAAGUAUAUCAUACUAUUACUUACCUGAGCCGCUCUAAAGGUCAGCUUCUCAGGCUCGAUACCGGGAGUCACGCACUUGAACCGCUUCCAAACCCUGUCCGACAAGGAAAAUGAUUUGCUAAGUUUUUCAUUAAUUGAUAUAUCAGAAAAUCAUCGAAAGAGACCGAUAGAGCGCAAGAAUGAUUGAAAUUACCCUUGGAGCAUGUCAUGCAGGCUUUGAAACUGUUCCAAGGGUCUCGAUAAUGGGUCGAAGGCAUCAACUCUUCCCUUAUCAAUUUGAAUGUCCAACAGAAUCCAAUGAAAGCUGCACAUGUAUGUAUAUAUAUAUAUAUGUGUGUGUGUGUGUGUGUGUGUGUCAGUAACUUAUCAAUUACACUUAUAAGUGAAUGGACACAACAGAGUAAAGACCCUCACCUGAAGUUGUAUGUAAACAGUAUGUGGUCACAGAAAUUUUGAUCUGUUAGAAACCUUAGAAGGUUUUCCUCCAUCUCCUUGGGUUUAUCAGUUAGCGUCGCUAUAUGUAUUUUAUCUGGGUCAAUAAACCCAAUAUUUAGGAUGUUCCUAUUUUUACAAUCCAGAAUCUUCAUUCUGCAUAAUAGAGUACAAGUUAUAUGUAGACAAUGAAUUUAAAUAACUAAACAAGUUAUAUGUAGACAACGAAUUGAAAAACUUACAGACAAUAGCAACUCAUAAGCGAUUUGUCGAGGGCGUCGGCAUUGUACAUCCGGAAGAGUUCAUCAAAGUCGAUAUGGAUUUCUUCGGGGCGGCCGUAGUACUCCCGUGGGACACUCACCACGAUCAUCGUUCUCCCGUUCUUUGAUUUACUUAAGUACCAUGUAUGCAAGUAACACAUAUUUGUUGGGAGAUCAUCUUUGCUGACCAAAGGCGCUCCCAUGACAAACUGUGGCUUAGGGGCUACCACAGCCUUGGGUAACCUGUCGUCUUGGGAAGCUAGAACGUCUUCAACCGGGAUACCCCAUUCAUCCGCCCACUUCUUUGCUAAUUCCAAAUCUUGCCCCUGCACCAGAGGGGGGACAUUCUCGGGUACCACCCUGAGAGGUGGGAUCGACUGUUUGGCCUGUUGUCCAAGCUGAGGAACGUCUGAUCUUUUUUUUGCUUGUAGUUGAACUUGAUUUGCUCCCACUUGCACUUGCACGUGAUCUGCUCUUUUUCACUUCCUUUUGCAAUGUGCGUGUAUAGUCAUCAGGCUUAUGGUGUAAGUCAUACUGUGAUGGAAGGUCCGUGAAGUAUUUUGCAAAUGCUAUUUGCUUCUCGGUGUAUUCCGGGCGGGGCUCGGGUUCCUUCUUUUUCAUCUGCGCAUCAUGAUGUUCCUUUGCUAUCCUGGCGUUUUCCUCGACGGUACGAUCAUAAGGUCUGAUAGGAAGAUUAGCAUGAGGUACCUUUGGGAGGGGCGACAGUUUGCGCUUUGGGAAGCUCCGUCGCUUAGAAAUCAUCGGCGGAGCGUUCUUGCUGGCACGCUUCCGCUUAGUAUCCGGAGCGGGCGGCGGCAGAGACGGACGACCCAAGUCCGGCGGCGGUGAUCGAGAUGGACUCAUGUUGUGCUGGUCGUCGUCAUGUGGAGGGCUUGGAGGUGAUGGAGGUGUAGGUGACCUGCGACGACUCGGAGGCGGUGUUGUCCUUGGGGCCGAGCCUGGAAGCUUGAUGUAGUUCUUGUCCCAUAGGAUGACUCCACCCAGUACUUCUCCGAGUGUCCUCUCAUCUUCGGGUCCAGCUAUGUCGAGAUCCAUAUCAUGAAACUCCGCCAUGAUUUCAUCCACCCCGACUUUAGCAAAGCCAGCUGGAAUCUCACGGCCAUGCCAGUGUGCAUCAGGGCCAGAAGGUAAAGCUUGUCCGACGGCCACCUUCAUGGAUAUGUUCUUGAAUUUCUGAUGGAGUUCACAUGAUGUUGACUCCUUGAUUCCAUCCACGGGGUAGCCGGGACCGCCCUCUAUCAUUCUUCGUGCAUCGUCGGGCGGGGCCUCAGAUUCAGCCACGCUGCUUUUCCGCUUAGAUGGGGCGCCGGUAAUAUCGAGUGCAGGAUCUUCCUGGCGCGCGACUCCUCUAAGCUCAUAAAUCUGCUUCUGUUGCUCGUUAAUCCUGGCAAGCAACUGGUUGAACUUGUCAUUCUCCUCAUCCUGCUGUCGCUUCUUUGCUCUCGCUCGGCUUCUGUAAGCGUCUUGGUCUCUGGCAAACCCAAGCCACCACGGGUAAGAAGGACCGAAGCCUCGCGUUCGUCCUCCAUCUGCAGUGAACUGUCUUUUUCCCUCCUUAAUUUCUUUCACUAUCUUUUUCCAAUUCUCUCUGGGUAUCCUAAGACCGUCACUGCAGAUGAGGUCCCCUGUUUCUUCGUCGUACGAACCACCAUGCGCAAGGAACCAAUUUCUUGCUCUCAAUUCCCACUCAUCACAGAGUGGUUCAGGUAUGAUGCCUUUAGCUAGCAGAUCUUGCUCUUUCUUAUGCCACUUUGGGAUGGCAGUCUCAUAGCCCCCUGGCCCCAGCUUGUGGUGAUAUUUCUUCUUGUCGGCAUUUAUCUUGUCCUUUUCUGAUAAUGCCUGGGCAUCUUCUGACUCCUUGUACUCUUGAAAUGCCUUCCAGUGAUUCGCCUGCUUGGCUAGAUACCCCUCGAAUACUGGCACUUUCUUUGUCUUCAGAUAGUUUUUCCAUAGCUUCUUCUUCCAGCUACGAAACAGUUCGGCUAUCUUCUUUAGAGUCCACUGCUUGACUUUGGCCCUCAGUUUGUCUGCGGCGUCUUCAUUCUCACAUUCUGGCAGGUUGAAAUGUGACAUGAGAUCAUUCCAAAGAUUAUCUUUGUACCUUUCGGCGACAUAGUCACUAUCGGCUGCCCCUUUGCGCUUGUUCCACUCCUGAACGCUGAUCGGGACGUGAUCCCUAACGAGAACUCCGCAUUGCUUCUUGAAUGUGUCAGCAACAUUCUUAGGAAGCUUGGGUUCGCCCGUAGGCAAUAUCACCUCAAAGGUGUAAUGCGUCCGUGCAUCCAACUUUCUAGUCGGGCCUCGUUUCGUAGCUUUGCUCGAUGUGGAGGCCUAAGAGGGAGAAACAUUCGUCAAAUGAAUGUAUAUGUAUACAAUAUAGAGCUAUCUCCAAUAUUUUUCACAUAUUACAAGUGAUUUCUCCACCGGCUUCUCCAUCAGUGGAGCUAUCACCUUCUCCGUCAUUGGACCUAUCUCCUGCCCCAUCGGCUUCAUCUUCGUGUCGGUCGACCUCCAUUCCAUAUCCGGAGGGGUUUAGAUAUGACGACGGAGAUUCAGUUGGUUCAACGUCGGGGCCAUCUUUGAUUAUAUCUUCGAGAAGUUCUUCCUCUUCGAGGUUCCUGAUAUGUGGAUCCAUAGUUCUGCAAAAAACGGACAUUUGAUUAACUAAUAAACUAACAAACUAUAUAAGAGGGGUUGGAAACUUCGAAGUGUUGUCUUAUAUAGGAGGACCUUUAGUCCCGGGUCUUGGCUAGAACCUAAACUCUAAAAUAUGUCUAACGGAUUCUCUUAACCUUUAAGGAUUUAACAAAAUGCGACAUUCUAGAUGUGUAGAAAAUGAUCCUAUUUUUCCUGAUCUCAUCUACCCUUCUAUAUGUCACAUUGUCUAGUGUCAAAGGACUUUGUUGAACUUUGUACCAAAAAAGAAUUAUUCUAUCAGGAACUUCGUUCCAAAACAACUUUAGUCCCGGGUCGUGGCUCCACCCGGGACUCCUAGAUUUCUGCAUAGUAUUCAAAGUAGGAGUACUUUUCCAAUUUGAGCAUUCAAUAAGCAAAACCAAAUCGUAAAAUAAAGUAGUAUUCAAAUUAGCAUGCAUUCAAUUAUAAGCAAAACUACAUCAUCUCUUUUGUCCGUACAUCGUCGAAUAUUAUCAUUAAUACUCCUUGAAUACUAUCAUACAUAUAGCAUCACUGAUACAGCUAGAACCGUAGCGCCCGACGGGUAUCGUCGCGGGCGGUGGACACCCAAAGAGAAGGAACCAUCACAGGAUCAUAGCUCCAGUGAGAUCCCUGAAGAACCUGUCAGGUAUGCUCGAACCUGCCUUCCAACGCAACCAUGUAGCGACGGACGUGCUCAUCCUCCUCGCUGACACGGUGACGUACCACCUCCGCGGUGUCCGGAAGCCUCGGCACCGUCACUGGCCCACGCGACCGCCACCAAACAAGGAUCGGGUCAACAACGGGCUGGCUCCUCACCAACCUACGCCCCCCCGGAAGGUAGCACCUCCCAAUACCAGCCGGGCGGAGCCCAGUCCCGGACAUGGCCCCUCUGAUCAAGCAGGUGUCCUCCGCCGAGUCGACAACGAGGAUUCGGGAUAGGCAUCGUAAAAUGAACUAAAAAAAUAAACUAGUUCUAUUAAUUUUCUUGCUAAAAAUAAACUAAUUGUAUAUAUAGUAAAAUAAACUAUUAACACUUAAGCAUAUACAAUAGAAAAAUUAAGCAAUAAUCUAAGAAACACUAAUUAAGCAUCUAUAUACGUAGAAAUGUCUUCUUCUUCUUCUUCUUCUUCUUCUUCUUCUUCUUCUUUCUUAUUUUCUUCUCCGCUUCUUCUUCAACUUCUCUUCUUCUACUUCUCUUCUUCUACUUCUCCUCUUCUUCUAUUUUUCCUCUUCUUCUCUUCUCCUCCUCUUCUUAUUCUCCUUUUUCUUCUUUUCUUCUCCUCCUCUUCUUAUUUUCCUUUUUCCUAAUCUUAUUUUCUUAUUUUUGUUCAUCUUUCUUCUUCUUGUAACCCUAACCUAAUUCUAAAUAUUACUAACCCUAAUAAUCUAGCACAAACCUAAUAACAAUAGGAAUUAAAUGACAAAAAAAUCUUUUCUUCUCCUUUUUCUUAUUUUCUUCCCUUUUUCUUCUUUUCUUCUCCUUUUUCUUCUUUUCUUUUCCUUUUUCUUCUUUUCUUCCCUUUUUCUUCUUUUCUUCUCCUUUUUCUUCUUUUCUUCUCCUUUUUCUUCUUUUCUUCUUCUUUUUCUUCUUUUGUUCUCCUUUUCUUCUUUUCUUCUCCUUUUUCUUAUUUUCUUCUACCGGCCGGAGUGUUGGGGAGGAGGGGGCGGGGGGCUUACCGGCCGGAGUGGGAGGGGAGGGCGUCGACGACGGCGAUGAGGACGGCACGCGGCGGCGAGGAGGACGGCGGGCAGCCUGGCGGCGUCGAGUUCGUCGGUGCCGCGCCGGGCACGAGAGUCCGAGGAAGAAGAACGAAAUGGCGAUUUGGGUUGGAAAUUUCCAACUCCUGCUUAUAUAGUAGGAUCUUUGGUCCCGGUUCGGGGCUCGAACCGGGACUAAAGACAAAGACACCCUUUAGUACCGUGUGGAGCCACGAGCCGGGACUAAAGGCCCUUUUUCGGCAGACCAAAAGGCGGGAAGCAGGGGCCUUUAGUCCCGGGUCAGGGCUCGAGCUGGGACUAAAGCCCCUCCGCUGGCUGCACGAUAAGUUUAGUCCCACCUCCCGAGCUAGGGGGACUAACACUAGUUUAUAAGCCUCGUCGCAGCAUCUCCAUCGAGCUCCUCUCUAAAGCACGCUUACGGGCCUAAACUGACUUUAAAUUUAAAAAUUGAAAUUAUAUUUGAAAUUAUGGAGAAAAUUAAACCUGAAUUCAAAGUGAGGUCACUUUGAAUUUAGGUUUAAUUUUCUCUAUAAAUUCUCAUAUAGUUUCAAUUUUUUUCUAUUUUCAAAAUUAACUAUUUUGUUAUUUUCAAUUAAAAACUAUGUUUAUUAAAAUUCUUUUUGCAUAUUUGAGAAUUGGACAAAACUAUGAUAAUGAAAAGUGUGUGAAAUUGAAUAAAUAAUUCAAAACUAUUUUCUAUUUUCAAAAUUAAUUAUUUUGACUAUCCAAACUAUUAACUAUUUUGUUAUUUUCAAUUAAAAACUAUGUUUAUUAAAAUUCUUUUUGCAUAUUUGAGAAUUUGACAAAACUAUGAUAAUGAAAAGUGUUUGAAAUUGAAUAAAUAAUUCAAAACUAUUUUCUAUUUUCCAAAUAAAUUAUUUUGACUAUCCAAACUAUUAAUAUUUUGUUAUUUUUAAUUAAAAACUAUGUUUAUUAAAAUUCUUUUUGCAUAUUUGAGAAUUUNNNNNNNNNNAUUUUUGCAUAUUUGAGAAUUUGACAAAACUAUGAUAAUGAACUCCAUACUUUUUGUGUGUUCAAAAUGCACCAUUCAAAGGCACAUCACAAAAUUACAACAAUUUUUGACUUCAUUUGGUAUUCUUCGUGCAUUUACUUAUUUUUUUUUUGAACUAGUUGACCCUGAAAUUGAAAAGCAUUACUAAUGAACUCUGAAAAUGUUGAAAGUUGGCAUGCUAUCAUCAUUUCACCCACAUAGGAUGUGUUAAAAAGUUGAGAGGGCUACGACAAGAACUGGAUGCACUUCGUGUACAAAACGGACAAUCUCUCUCGAAGUAUCAGGGUUUCGAACGAGAACUCAUCUCUUACAAAUGGAUUUCAUUUUUUUGAACUUAUUUGAACUCCAUACUUUUUGUGUGUUNNNNNNNNNNNNNNNNNNNNNNNNNNNNNNNNNNNNNNNNNNNNNNNNNNNNNNNNNNNNNNNNNNNNNNNNNNNNNNNNNNNNNNNNNNNNNNNNNNNNGAUUUAGUUAGGUUAGUAGUUUUAGUUAGGUUAGUAGAUUUAGUUAGGAGGAGAAGAGGAGAAGAGGAGGAGGAGGAGGACAAGAAGAGGAGAAGAAGAAGAGGAGUAGGAGGAGGAGGAGGAGGAGGAGGAGGAGAAAAAGAAGAAGAAGAGGAGAAGAAAAAAAUAAGAAGGAGAAGAAGAAUAAAAAGAAGAAGAAGAGAAGAAAAAAAUAAGAAGGAGAAGAAGUAAAGAAGAAGAGAAGAAGAGAAUAAGAAAAAAAAAGAAGGAGAAGAAGAGAAAAAAGAAGAAGAAGUUGAUUUUUUAUUGUUUGGUAUUUAGUGGUAGCUAGAUUCUUUUUUAGUUACUUAGUGGUAGAUUAUGUUUUUGUUAUAGUGGUAGAUUCUAUUUUUGUUAUUUUUUUGCUGUUUAGUGCUAUCUAGGUUUAGCGAUAGGUUUAGUUAGCUUGGUUAGUUAGGUUAGUUAGUUAGUUAGCUUACUAGAAAGAAUAGGAAGAAAAAGAAGAGGAGGAGGAGGAGAAGAGGAGGAGGAGGAGAAGAAGAAGAAGAAGAAGAAGAAGAAUAGGAGGAGUAGAAGACAAAAAGAAGAUCACAUGUUUGGUAUUUAGUUUUUUGGAAUUAAUUAGUAGUUUUAGUGGUAGAUUCUGUUAGUUAAUUAAUAGAUUUAGUGGUAGAUUCUGUUAGUUUAUUCGCCCAUCAUUAUUGCUUAGGUUCAAGACUACUUCAAAGAAGAUCACAUGUUCUUUUGUUGAAAUCAAGUCUGUCAAAAUCAUGUAUCGUCUAUAUUUAUUGGUAGCGGAGCAAAACAGGACAACUUAAAUAAUAUUGCCAUCCUCAAAUGUAGAAAAUAUCGAAAAGUUUUAUAUAAACUGAAAAGUAGUAUAGGUAACCUGGAAAGUCCUCUGGACCAAAAGGGCAACUUCUGGACCUGCGAACUUUGCGUGGUAGGUGCAUGUCCAUGCAGCAGGGUAAUUUCCCCAACAAUGACAUAAUUAGUCCAUUUAGCUCCAAAAUACCAUAAUAAGCUCAAAAUGGCAUAAGAACCUUGGUUAGCUCAUUAAUAUUAUAUACUUAGCUUGUUUUCCUCUAAAAUGGGAUAAUUAGCCCAUUUAGCUCAAAAAAGACAUAAUUAGGUAAUUUACCUCCAACAAGAGGAGAACAGGAGAAGAAAUAGGCAAAAUGAAAAGAAAGAAGAAGAAGAAGAAGAAGAAGAAGAAGAAGAAGAGAAGAAGGAGAAGGAGGAGGAGGAGGAGAAGGCCAAGGACCUUCUAUCCUUCUCCUCCUCCUCCUUCUCCUCCUCCUCCUCCUUCUUCUUGAUUUCUUCUUCUUCUCCUCCUCCUCCUCUUUCUUCUCUUCUUUCAUAUUAUCCUUGCUUUAAUUAACCCAACAAUGACAUAAUUAGCCCAUUUAGCUCCAAAAUACCAUAAUAAGCUCAAAAUGGCACAAGAACCUUGGUUAGCUCAUGAAUAUUAUAUACUUACCUUGUUUUCCUCUAAAAUGACAUAAUUGGAAUAUUUGUGUUGAUCGGGUGGAUUUACAUGUGAUAGUUGUCUCGUCGCUGUGAGGUCUGUUGUGCGAAGACCUGCCCGUGCGUUGUACGAGCUCCGCCCCUGUAUUCGUGGUCAGUACAAAUUUCAUCUCCUCCCCGCCCCUUCAUUUACUGUGGCUCGGUUUCCGGAUGAAACUUUCUAGAUUUAGGUAAUUCAAUUAAUUUAUCAGUAUGCGUGACCAGUAUGCGUCUCCCGUUCGAAAGGGCGACAUCUAUAAAUAUGCAUGUCUUUGCAUAUUUAUAACCUCCAACCUUUCGAAUUGUCCAACAUUAUCCAUUGACAGCCCGAGUAUGUGUAGAUUGGGUUCGUUUUCCCGUAUGCUGUGCUCUGGAUCCGAUGCGGAAUUUCGUCAGUGCCUCCCUGUUGUUCUCCGGAUGCACAUCCUCUCUGUUUAUUGCGGAGACGUGUAUCAGGAGAACAGCGAGGAGGUGCUGCCGAAAUUUUAUGUUGGAUCCGGAGCAGAGCAUGGGAAAACGAACCCAAUCUACACAUACUCGGGUGGGAUUAGGACCUAUCUUUACCUAUUAGCGUGUAGGUUGCCUGGACGUAAUAAAAAUGGCGAACCUGAUUAACCGAUGAAUAUAAAUGCUAAAUUAUAUAUAAAUAUAUUUCUUCUGUCUUUAGUAGCUACGCAAGAUGAGUGAUCGUGCGUGGAUGUAUACCAGUCACCCUAGUCAGAAAGAGAUGACGAAAGAAUGAUUUUUAAAAACAAAGGAAUUUGUGAAAGCCGCAUUCGCAAAUGGCCAGGAAAGAAAGUAUUGCCCCUGUCUUGGAUGCGACAACUAUAAAAAGACGACAGAGGCUGUAAUGAUUAAACACCUGCAGAGGAGGGGUUUUAAGCCUAAUUAUACGGUGUGGACAUUUCAUGGUGAGUCUAUACAACGCACAAGAGCUGAGGUGGUCCGUCGUCGCACGGACGAGCAUGGUACUGGGAUCGAAGACAUGGUGCAAGACUUUGAUGAUGCUCGGGAUUUGGAAGAUGAGAUGGAGGAAUCUGCAAAGGCCUUUUAUGAAAUGUUGGAGUCUUCAAAACAUCCUNNNNNNNNNNNNNNNNNNNNNNNNNNNNNNNNNNNNNNNNNNNNNNNNNNNNNNNNNNNNNNNNNNNNNNNNNNNNNNNNNNNNNNNNNNNNNNNNNNNNCAAUCACACGAGGUCGGGACAGCGGCCGAGGCCUUCUGAAGAUUGAGCUAGCGGGGCACUGAAGGAGAAGGGUGGAAGAGACAUAUGGUAAUGUGCAUGGCGUGGCCCGUCCAAAACUGAGAAUGAGAUAACCCACUCCAAAAAAUGGUUUGCGCUAACAGACUUAGCAAAAGAAGUGAGCCGAUAAAAUGGUUAAAGGCAAUUGCAAUGAACAUUGCAGGGAACCCUAUGAUGCUUCUGGGGUCCAUCUGGUGGCUUCGGAGCCCCCCCCCCCCAAAACCCAACCCAACCUAUAAAAAGCUUCUCUGACGCACAUCCUUCACAAGCCAUUGCUGGAGGAGGCCUAAGGAAAAAGCCCCAGGGUAGACGAGAACAGGGAGCCCCCCUAGAUCCAUGCAUGUUGGGCGUGUUGCCCAAUAAGCUAGCUCUGGUUUUCACGACAACUCUUUUUUCAGUUUCAAUUUUUUUGAAAAGGAGGAACAAAGCCCCCGGCUUCUGCAUCAAUCGAUGCGUGCAUCCGUAUUAUUAAUAAAAUCCAAGAGUAGAGUCACAGGUUUGAAAAGAGCUCACAAUCUGAGCAUAAACACAAAUCUGGAAGUAAAUAAAGACUGUCACAGCCGACGAAACCAGCAAUAGGCUACGAUGACUAUACACCUAGCCUAUUAAUAGCUCGCCAUCCAAAUCGGUCGAAGAUAACCCGUGCGACCGUCUGCCACCGGUUGCAUCCAAUACUUCUUUCGUUAGGUUAGUUAGUUGUUUCCCGCAAGACACGUUCAGUGGGAUCCAUGGAAAAUUUAUAGGAGUUGUGGACUGCGUGCUCGAUCGUGAGAGGAGCACCGGGAUUGCGGCAUGAAGUGUCUCUGUUAAGCAAUAAAAGGGGGAAAGUAAAUAGAAAACAACAAGUCUUACGCUUCGUAAAAUUCCUCUCUCCUGAAAGCUGAUUCAUAGUGUUGAGAAGCGACAAGUGGCAUCACAACCAUGUGAAGGACACCUGCAGCCCCGGGUGCACGUGUCUCGCAACGUGUGUUCGACGAGAAACCGAGCUAGGACUGGAGGCACGAGACAGCGGGCACGGGCGGUACUUUUACCGUUGAUUUCUCGACAUAGGGUGGCUCGAUGGAAGAUGGUGCCAUGGCAGCAAAGUCAGUACCAACGGCGCCAUGCAAAACCGUUGCCCUGGAACCCAUCUUUGUUGCGAGGGCAGCUGAUUCACCUGCGGGUGGUGCGCCACCUACUUCUGCAGUAUGGCUGGACGUACAAUUCGCCACCCCGCCGCCCUACGACCGGGCCAUGUUCGACGACGNNNNNNNNNNCACCAACGGCGCAAUGCGAAACCAUUGACCUGGAACCCAUCUUCGUUGCGAGGGCAGCUGAUUUGCCCGCGGGUGGUGCGCCACCUACUUCUGCAGUAUGGUUGGACGUACAAUUCGCCACCCCGCCGCCCUACGUCCGGACCAUGUUCGACGACGCUGACGACCCCGACGCCGUUCACCGCUACCGCCGCGUGGAUGAUGUGCUCGAGCACGACGCGGCUAACUCCAGCAGAACAGAGCAGCUGCUCCUGCUGCCUGAAAGAAAACCGGCGACCUUUGUAGAGGCCGGGGCCCAUGCGGCAUGGCGAGCGAUGAUGGAGGAAAUGGCAUGCACCAAGUNNNNNNNNNNNNNNNNNNNNNNNNNNNNNNNNNNNNNNNNNNNNNNNNNNNNNNNNNNNNNNNNNNNNNNNNNNNNNNNNNNNNNNNNNNNNNNNNNNNNUCAACGACAACCGGCCUCCUCGUUUUCCCGAAUGUGCGACACACACGUGAAAGCUAGGCCCUUGCUCUGCCGGCAUGUGUUGGAUGUGUUCUUAGCUCUCUAGUUCGCCCCUCCACCCAUGACCGAGGCGCCACCCAACACAUCGACUCUGACACUCAACGCCCACUUGCAUCGUGGACCCUGGGAGCGCUUGUAGAGGUAGAGCCCUCUCUUUGAAUUAGACAAUAGUGUGAUGUAAGCGGAUAAUAAGCUCCCUAUUAUACUUGCUCUAAGGUUAUGUCAUAUGCAUGAUGAUGGAAGUGGCUAUGUCUUAAUAAUCUUUUAAUAUCAUUGGUAAACAGAAGGACAUGAAUCACUGACGAAGAUCUUAAGAUUUGUGGUUUUUAGUCCUCUCUCUAUUUUUUCACUCCGCAUCGACAUGCACUUGACUACAAAUAUAUGACCAUUAGUCCAUUACUUUUUUUAGGUACUUAAACAUUACUUUUUGUACCAACUCAAAAAAAUGGACAUAAAACUAUAAGGAAAUAAAUAUUAAUUAUACAAUAAUGCAAGAUGAUUUCGAUGUGAAAUAUGAAAGCGGAUUAUAAGCUGCCUAUUAUACUUACUCUAAGGCUNNNNNNNNNNNNNNNNNNNNNNNNNNNNNNNNNNNNNNNNNNNNNNNNNNNNNNNNNNNNNNNNNNNNNNNNNNNNNNNNNNNNNNNNNNNNNNNNNNNNUAAAAGGCACAUCACAAAAUUUCAACAAUUUCUGACUUCAUUUGGUAUUCUUCGUGCAUUUACUUUUUUUUUGGGCUAGUUGACCCUGAAAUUGAAAAGCACUACCAAUGAACUCUAAAAAUGUUGAAAGUUGGCAUGCCAUCAUCAUUUCACCCACAUAGCAUGUGUUAAAAAGUUGAGAGGGCUACGACAAAAACUGGAUGCACUUCGUGUACAAGACGGACAAUCUCUCUCGAAGUAUCACGGUUUCGAACGAGAACUCAUCUCUUACUAAGGGAUUUCAUUUUUUUGAACUUAUUUGAACUCCAUACUUUUUGUGUGUUCAAAAUGCACCAUUAAAAGGCACAUCACAAAAUUUCAACAAUUUCUGACUUCAUUUGGUAUAUUUCGUGCAUUUACUUAUUGUUUUUGAGCUAGUUGACCCUGAAAUUGAAAAGCACUACAAAUGAACACUGAAAAUGUUGAAAGUUGGCAUGCUAUCAUCAUUUCACCCACAUAGCAUGUGUAAAAAAGUUGAGAGGGCCACGACAAAAACUGGAUGCACUUCGUGUACAAAACGGACAAUCUCUCUCGAUAUCAGGGUUUCGAACGAGAACUCAUCUCUUACAAAGGGAUUUCAUUUNNNNNNNNNNNNNNNNNNNNNNNNNNNNNNNNNNNNNNNNNNNNNNNNNNNNNNNNNNNNNNNNNNNNNNNNNNNNNNNNNNNNNNNNNNNNNNNNNNNNNNNNNNNNNNNNNNNNNNNNNNNNNNNNNNNNNNNNNNNNNNNNNNNNNNNNNNNNNNNNNNNNNNNACAACAAUUUUUGACUUCAUUUGGUAUAUUUCGUGCAUUUACUUAUUUUUUUUGAGCUAGUUGACCCUGAAAUUGAAAAGCACUACAAAUGAAAACACUGAAAAUGUUGAAAGUUGGCAUGCUAUCAUCAUUUCACCCACAUAGCAUGUGUUAAAAAGUUGAGAGGGCUACGACAAAAACUGGAUGCACUUCGUGUAUAAAACGGAGAAUCUCUCUCGAAGUAUCAGGGUUUCCAACGAGAACUCAUCUCUUACAAAGGGAUUUCAUUUUUUUGAACUUAUUNNNNNNNNNNNNNNNNNNNNNNNNNNNNNNNNNNNNNNNNNNNNNNNNNNNNNNNNNNNNNNNNNNNNNNNNNNNNNNNNNNNNNNNNNNNNNNNNNNNNUUCGUAGAAUAUGUAGGAUCCAAUAUGGGCAUCCAGGUCCCGCUAUUGGAUAUUGACCGAGGAGUCUCUCCGGUCAUGUCUACAUAGUUAUCGAACCCGCAGGGUCUGCACACUUAAGGUUCGACGUUGUUUUAUGCGUAUUUGAGUUAUAUGGUUGGUUACCGAAUGUUGUUCGGAGUCCCGGAUGAGAUCACGGACGUCACGAGGGUUUCCGGAAUGGUCCAGAAACGAAGAUUGAUAUAUAGGAUGACCUCAUUUGAUUACCGAAAGGUUUUCGGAGUUACCGGAAAUGUACCGGGAAUGACGAAUGGGUUCCGGGAGUUCACGGGGGAGGGGGGGGGGGCAACCCACCCCGGGGAAGCCCAUAGGCCUUGAGGGUGGCGCACCAGCCCUUAGUGGGCUGGUUGGACAGCCCAAAAGGGCCCUAUGCGCAUUGAAAGAAAAAUCAAAGAGAAAAAAAAGGACGAGGUGGGAAGGGAAGGAAGGACUCCCACCCACCAAACCAAGUCCAACUCGGUUUGGGGGGGAGACCUUCCCCCCUUGGCUCGGCCGAUCCCCUUGGGGCUCCUUGAGCCCCAAGGCAAGGUCCCCUCUCUCCCACCUAUAUAUACGGAGGUUUUAGGGCUGAUUUGAGACGACUUUCCACGGCAGCCCGACCACAUACCUCCACGGUUUUUCCUCUAGAUCGCGUUUCUGCGGAGCUCGGGCGGAGCCCUGCUGAGACAAGGUCAUCACCAACCUCCGGAGCGCCGUCACGCUGCCGGAGAACUCUUCUACCUCUCCGUCUCUCUUGCUGGAUCAAGAAGGCCGAGAUCAUCGUCGAGUUGUACGUGUGCUGAACGCGGAGGUGCCAUCCGUUCGGUACUAGAUCGUGGGACUGAUCGCGGGAUUGUUCGCGGGGCGGAUCGAGGGACGUGAGGACGUUCCACUACAUCAACCGCGUUCACUAACGCUUCUGCUGUACGAUCUACAAGGGUACGUAGAUCACUCAUCCCCUCUCGUAGAUGGACAUCACCAUGAUAGGUCUUCGUGCGCGUAGGAAAAUUUUUGAUUUUUUUUUCCCAUGCGACGUUCCCCAACAGACACAACCAUGCAUAACCACAUGAACAUGCUAGCAAAUUCACAAAUUUACACAAUGUCAAGUUUAACUAGGGACAGAUACUAGGUGCGGUAUAUUUUAAGCUUCUAUUAUCCAAAAAAACAUAUUUAUUCUCAACUUGGGCUACGAACUAAGAUGCAGUUAAGGCCUUAACAGACAACCAGAUCAGUGACAGUGCAGCUGCAAUAGCCAGCCCGGCAUGUCUACUUUGCAUGUGCACACACGAAGAAAGACUACCCAAUUACGAAAGAAAUCAAUAGAAAAUUAAUAUGCCGGCAAAGAUACAUCGAUGAUCAUCGUGAGACCAAAGCAUUUGAUACACCAUGUUCCUGCCUUUGGUUUUGCAGCACAUCACCAGACCGGCAGACCGAACCAAUCAAACUUCAUUAUCUCAGAAUUCCUAUUUGACAUUGGGUUCAUUAUUCCUUCUAAGAUCAUGUUGCAAAUGGCUUCAUGAUAGCCUUACGAUGAGAAUCUAAAAAGAUUUCAAGUGCAAUCUCAAUUUAUCCAAGUCGUGAACGAUAGAUGUUAUUUCAACAUGCUCGGUUUUCUUUACAUAUAGAUCUACACCAGCGAUUACUUGUUAGAGAUGAAACUAAACUUUACUCCAAGAAUACCAAAGGUUUGUUGAACAAGAUUGUAACAAACUCAAACUGCGCAAGCUAGCCUAGGUUAAUGCUCCACAUUAGUAAACAACCACAUGACCUAUAUGGAGGUUGGAACACUUCAACCAAUCACCAAAUAUAUUUACAGUACCGCUCUCAACUUAGACACUAACAACUCGAGCCUUGUCGUAUCACCUCUCAUCGUGAGAGCGUACCCCAUUCGGUACCAAUCCAUUGAGGGCGGCCUCAACAUCGUUCAGCCUUACCACCACCACCAUUGGUAUGGCAACACGUCAUGUCCUAGCCAAGGUCAUCUAGGUGGCCAAAACUUCAUGAUGCUUGUUGAAGCAGCGCAUGAAAGAGCUAUCCACGCCGGGAGAACGAUUCUGCACGACGAAACUGAAGAAGGGCUCCUUGGACCAUUUUGGUCAUCGUUCCUUUCGGAUAGAGCUACUUCCUAGAGUCGGAUGACAUGGCUUUGGAGCCUUCAACCUUUCCCUAAUUACCUGAACAAAAAAAAUGUGAAGUUAUGGACCAUGCAACUUUAUGACACACACGCACACGCAUACACACACGUGCAUGUUAUCAUUUAUGAAGUAUAAGAUAUGAUCUUCUAGUUGUUGAAUAGUCAAAUGUACUUUUGAUAAAGGAAACAAAUAUUUAGGACUAGCUUUGGGUUUCCCGGAGGGUCGGCGGGGACCCGCGAUAACAGACAUCAAGCUUACAAACAAGUUCCUCAUAAUGAUAACCUUCAUUUAUGAAAUAUAUGAUAUGAUCUUCUAGUUAAUGUAGAAACGAGUCAAAUAUAUUUUGAAAAUAGGGAUCAAAAUUUAAGACUAGCUUGGACGACAACACACGUCAAGCUUACAAAGUUUGUACGCCCUGUUAAUAUUUUAUUUAUAGUCUAAAGUGGGAAUUAGUAUCUUCUAAACCAUGUCACACGUUGCGGCAGAAACACAAGGGAAUUGGUUGCAGUAUAUUACUUUGAUGAGAUUUGGUUGUCUUUAAUUUGGAUAUGAGACUACAGACCAGAACCACAUAUGAUCUGUUGUAAUAGAUUACUAUUCAUUUAUAAUAUACUUCCUCCGUUUUUAAAUAUAAAUCUUUUUACAGUGUGCACUAGAAAACUACAUACAGAUGUAUAUAGACACAGAGCUAUUUUAAAGUGUAAAUUCAUUCAUUUUGCUUCGUAUGUGGUUCACUAAUGAAGAUUUAAAAAAACUUAUAUUUAGAAAUGAAGGGAGUAUUUAUUAACUUGUACUUCUCAUGCAUAUAGUAGGAAUUAGCACGCUCCUAGUUAUACCAUUGGAUGAGACAAAAUCACAUAGAAUCGAAAUCAGCUCGCACUCCACCAUUUCGUGUUCCAUCGAUCAGUAGAGCCAUGUUUUAUAUUUCUUUCUCCAGACAUAGACAUGAUCAUAUAUUCUGAAAUAUAUGUACGAAUUUGGAUCCGAUUUGACAGUUAUCUUUGUUUUGACAAAAUGUUCAAAAGAAGACCAAUGUUGAAUAUGUUUGUUCGAAUAAAAAUAUACGUUAUGAAACAAGACUAAGUCAAUAUAUGUUCAAAAUCAGACAUUUAACUUUUAAAAAACAUAAAAAUUUGUCUAUUUUCAAAGAUCUCGCCAAGAAAUUAAGAUGAGAUCACACAACAAGGGUUGAGGCUUCAAAUCAGACGAUGACGAGAGCUUCUGUGAUAUAUAUAUACCUGGACUGGAGCAGUGGCAGGCUGGGGCACGAUCCACAUACCCGCGUCGUUUUUACGGUCGCUCCAUUUUGACGGCAGGUACUCCAUUAACUUGGUUUUGCCGUCGAUGAGGUUGUGCCUGAACACGGGGAGCGUCGACUCGUCGGAACACCGCUCCAAGAAGUAAACACACCCGCCGGUCACGUCGUCGUCCACACCAUGGAACCUCGCGGCAUCCACGGCGAAGCUGCUAGGGAACCCUAGAAACAUGACACGGUCGGCGAAGCUCAGGCCGUCCCUCCUCGCCCACCGCACCAUUUGUCUGCCGUCUGUGCCGGUCUCUUCCUCUAGGGCAUGCACCAAAACUGUAACCACACGCUUCAUACUGCUGCCGGUCUUCAAGUACAUAACCAGGAUGGACACUCGCAGAAGCUCGCCAUGGGACUCAAGGACGUGGCUAGAGUUGAGACCCCACAUGUCCUUACUACUCUCAACGACGACACUGGUGUGGACGCCGCCUGCACUCGCCGAGGGUGCCAUGAGGUGCCAGAUGUCAUUGCAAUGGUCACCAUCUACACACACCAAGAUCUUGCCGUCAUGGUAGGCGGCGAAGCAACGGUUGUUUUCGAACCCUAUGUUCUUCCUCCUCAUCCUGAAUGUUCUCUCGAUCACCGUCCACUCGGUAUCGCCGGGGCUGAAGAUGGCCGCUCGGAGGUUGGUGGACCUCGUCGUUCCUUGCUCAUGGUUGCUGUCAGACUUGGAGAAGUGGUAGAGGAAGAUGGUGCCGUCGCCGUAGACUACGCCACGGGACUUGUCCCUCAUCUUCCGCUUAUCACCGUAUGGGAAGGGCGGCAGAGGGGUGGUGUCUCUGGUGGUGAGAGGGUCGACGAGCUUGGGCCCGUCCCGUGCGCUGAAGAACCAGUACGCCAUGCCGUCGGCUCGCGCCACACACCCAAGCUUGUGGAAGCUCGAGGAUACCUCCUUAUGGUAGCUUGUCUUUGAGAAGACGCAGCGGGGCCUGAUGACGGAGAAGCGGCGACCAGACCCAGACGGCGGGGCGACGAGCCAAGGGAAGAGGACAGGCCGGAGUGCACUUGUCUGCGGCGGGGGCAGCGAGUCCCGCCAUGAGCAGCAGACGGCGUGGAAGCGGACAAAGUCGGUGGGAUCGUGCAGGCGGCCGGAGACGACGGCGAGCAGCUCGGACGGGAGCUCCGCCCAACGACGGCGUCGCUGGGGCGCCGGCGGCAUGUUUGGGUGGAGUACGCGAGAAAGAAAGAAAGAUGGAUCGGCGCGCGGCUGCUAGCUAGGGUUUCUCUUCUCUUCUAAUGGCAGGUGCUGGCCGUUGAUACACGUUUGGAUAUAUCGAUCGAUACCAGGCUGCAGCUCAAUCGGUUUCAAAAAUACUAACGAGCCCGUGUACCUUGAAAACAAAAGAAAAUAAAAUCUAAAGAGCCCGUGAAUAAUGCAUCCAGAUGCAUCAUGCGUGAAAUAGGUAUGCUGAUAUACAAUGAUGUAAGCACUAAUCUGAUCAACUCUCUCUCUCACUCUCGCUAUCGAUCAGGAUUACACACACACGAUCACAGGAGCUUGAGAGGUUUUUGGCGAUGCAAACAACUUGCAUCAUUUUCUGUAUUUCACUUCUACUCUUAUUCAGUUACAGUCGACCUGAAGCCACCAACGGCCCGAGCAAAACGCCUGCCACAACCACCACGAUUGCGCCAUCCCACGAUCCAGUUGAUGCGGGCGGUAGACCCCUUCUACGGGAGAAAAACAAGCUAGCCUAACUAACCUAUCUACUCAGCUAACUAGCUGUUAUUUGUAGCUCAAACGGAAGGGAAAAACGACUAACUAACUGGCAGUCUGAAGAAACGAACACAUGGGGUUUAAGUCCACAAUAACUCCCUAAACCUUGUGUGCUUCGUUGAGUUUCACCAUCCCGAUCUUUGCUCGCUGCUCUUGAAGUUUAACUCGUCCCAAUGCCUUGAUCAGCACAUCAGCAAGUUGCUCUUCGGAUCGAACGAACUCGAUCUGAAUCUUCCCAUCCUCCAUGCACAUCAGCAAGUUGAUACACGUUUGGAUAUAUCGAUCGAUUCCAGGCUGCAGCUCAGUUUCAAAAAUAAGACUCACACGCGGCCUCUGAUNNNNNNNNNNNNNNNNNNNNNNNNNNNNNNNNNNNNNNNNNNNNNNNNNNNNNNNNNNNNNNNNNNNNNNNNNNNNNNNNNNNNNNNNNNNNNNNNNNNNACCCGGGGCUGCAGGUGUCCUUCACAUGGUUGUGAUGCCACUUGUCGCUUCUCAACACUAUGAAUCAGCUUUUAGGAGAGAGGAAUUUUACGAAGCGUAAGACUUGUUGUUUUUUAUUUUCUUCCCCUUUUAUUGCUUAACCGAAACAGUUCAUGCCGCAAUCCCGGUGCUCCUCCCAGGAUCGAGCACGCAGUCCACGACUCCUAUAAAUUUUCCAUGGAUCCCACUGAACGUGUCUUGCGGGAAACAACUAACUAACCUAACGAAAGAAGUAUUGGAUGCAACCGGUGGCAGACGGUCGCACGGGUUAUCUUCGACCGAUUUGGAUGGCGAGCUAUUAAUAGGCUAGGUGUAUAGUCAUCGUAGCCUAUUGCUGGUUUCGUCGGCUGUGGCAGUCUUUAUUUACUUCCAGAUUUGUGUUUAUGCUCAUAUUGUGAGCUUUUUUCAAACCUAUGACUCUACUCUUGGAUUUUAUUAAUAAUACGGCUGCACGCAUCGAUUGAUGCAGAAGCCGGGCGGCUUUGUUCCUCCUUUUGAAAAAAAAUUGAAAGUGAAAAAAAGAGUUGUCGUGAAAACCAGAGCUAGCUUAUUGUGCAACACGCCCAACAUGCAUGGAUCUAGGGGGGCUCCCUGUUCUCGUCUACCCUGGGGCUUUUUCCUUAGGCCUCCUCCAGCAAUGGCUUGUGAAGGAUGUGCGUCAGAGAAGCUUUUUAUAGGUUGGGUUGGGUUGGGGGGGGGCUCCGAAGCCACCAGAUGGACCCUAGAAGCAUCAUAGGGUUCCCUGCAAUGUUCAUUGCAAUUGCCUUUAACCAUCUUAUCGGCUCACUUCUUUUGCUAAGUCUUUUAGCGCAAACCAUUUUUUGGAGUGGGUUAUCUCAUUCCCAGUUUUGGACGGGCCAUGCCAUGCACGUUACCAUCUGUCUCUUCCACCCUUCUCCUUCAGUGCUCCGCUAGCUCAAUAUUCAGAAGGCCUCGGCCGCUGUCCCGACCUCGUGUGAUUGUGCGCGUCNNNNNNNNNNNNNNNNNNNNNNNNNNNNNNNNNNNNNNNNNNNNNNNNNNNNNNNNNNNNNNNNNNNNNNNNNNNNNNNNNNNNNNNNNNNNNNNNNNNNGGUGGUGGUCAUCUCCUCCGUCGAAGGUGGUCGGUCUGAGGCUGGAUGGUCAGAUCUCGAGAUCCGCCAUCUAGUUUCGGCUAUGAGUCGGGAAGACAUAGUUGCCAGUGAAAACCGAGACGAUGGCGGCGUUCUGUGUCGUUACCUUGAUGAAGGCAUCUCGUGUAACUAUUGCUCGUGCUGCUCCGGGGGAAACCCUAGGAUCUGGUCUUCUAGAUCGGACGAUGACGGUACUGCGGUGUCGUUUUCUUUCUUGUGAGCAUCGUCCGUGGAAUAGAGCUGGAAGACAGAGGCAGGAGGUGGAGCGGCUUCAUCUUGCACGGAGCUUUCGGUGGAGAUGUCAAGUCAUGCCUGACCGACAGGUGUUACGCUGUGUCAUGCCUGGUCGGCAGGUACUACGCACAACAGAUCUUCCAGAAUCUUCGCGUCUGGACUGACGAGCGUGGGGCGGUGGCGCCGUUGGGCGCCGUGGUGGCCUCGACGGAUGGACGGACUGACAAGGAUGAUACAGAUCUNNNNNNNNNNCCGAUGAUCAUGGCGGCGUCUAAAAUGUGUGCAUGUGGUGUACUCUUUAGGUCUGCUGCACCGGUUGUGGGUUCUGAUACAUUAUGUGGAUGGAUCGAUGACGGCUCCGGUUUUAUAUAUGGGGAGUGAGAGCGCUCCACAUUAUCAAGUUUUAUAUGUGUGAGUGGUGGCUUCGAAUGGUUUAAUGUAUGUUCUUAUUAGAUCUAUGUUGAAUAAUUAAUAAACAUGACCGUAUGCAUCGAUUGAUGCAGAGGCCCGGGGGUUUAACCUCCUUAUAUAUAUAUAUAUANNNNNNNNNNCUAUGGGUUCCGAUACAUUAUGUGGAUGGAUCGGUGACGGCUCCGGUUUUAUAUAUGGGGAGUGAGAGCACUCCACAUUAUCGAGUUUUAUAUGUGUGAGUGGUGGUUUCGGAUGGUUUAAUGUAUGUUCUUGUUAGAUCUAUGUUGAAUAAUUAAUAAAGAUGACCGUAUGCAUCGAUUGAUGCAGAGGCCGGGGGGUUUAACCUCCUUUUCCAAUAUAUAUAUAUAUAGACACACACACACACAUACACACACACACACAUAUAGUUGGUAUGCUGCCACCAUGAACAUGUUUAUUGUUUUAUGUAUUUGUCCAUCUUAUUUGACACUGUUUAUAUCAUUACCACACUGAUAUCAACAAUGUAUCCUUGUGCAGGUAUUUUGUUGUUCUNNNNNNNNNNNNNNNNNNNNNNNNNNNNNNNNNNNNNNNNNNNNNNNNNNNNNNNNNNNNNNNNNNNNNNNNNNNNNNNNNNNNNNNNNNNNNNNNNNNNAAAUGUUGGAGUCUUCAAAACAUCCUCUCCAUGAGCACACUGAGCUCUGUCAGCUGGAUGCAAUUGCACAAGUAAUGGCUCUGAAGGCUCAGUUCAACUUGGGAAGAGAAUGCUACGACGCGAUGAUGACACUAUUUGGACGUUUCCUACCCAAAGGCCAUGUCAUGCCUGCAAACCUGUACCAGUCGGACAAAAUACUUCGUGUACUUAAGAUGCCCUAUGAGAAGAUAGAUGCAUGUGAGAAAGGAUGUGUCUUAUUUAGGAAGGAGUAUGCACACUUGGACUAUUGUCCCAAUUGCGAGUCUUGCACGUAUCUUGUGGUAGACAACGGUAUGGGUGAGAAGAGGCAGACCAAAAUCGCAGUUAGUGUUCUUCGGUAUAUGCCAAUCGUACCAAGACUUCAACGUCUUUUCAUGGUCGAAGAGACAGCCAGACAGAUGACAUGGCACAAAUUGGGCAAAAGAACCGAACUAGAUGCGGGUGGGAAUAAGAUGAUGGUACACACAUCGGAUGGGGAAGCGUGGAAACAUUUCGAUGGAUUGCAUCAGGAUAAAGCGGCAGAUCCAAGGAAUCCUCGAGUCUGCGCCGCCACGGAUGGUUUUAAUCCCUUCGGCAUGACGGCAACCCAAUACAGUUGUUGGCCUGUAUUUGUCCUUCCACUCAAUCUCCCCCCCCCCCCCCNNNNNNNNNNNNNNNNNNNNNNNNNNNNNNNNNNNNNNNNNNNNNNNNNNNNNNNNNNNNNNNNNNNNNNNNNNNNNNNNNNNNNNNNNNNNNNNNNNNNNNNNNNNNNNNNNNNNNNNNNNNNNNNNNNNNNNNNACGUUGAUAAUUCCAGGGCCCAAUUAUCCGGGGAAGAAUAUGAAUGUGUACCUGCAACCGCUUAAGGAUGAAUUGGAAGNNNNNNNNNNNNNNNNNNNNNNNNNNNNNNNNNNNNNNNNNNNNNNNNNNNNNNNNNNNNNNNNNNNNNNNNNNNNNNNNNNNNNNNNNNNNNNNNNNNNGGUGAAAUGAUGAUAGCAUGCCAACUUUCAACAUUUUCAGAGUUCAUUAGUAAUGCUUUUCAAUUUCAGGGUCAACUAGUUCAAAAAAAAAAUAAGUAAAUGCACGAAGAAUACCAAAUGAAGUCAGAAAUUGUUGAAAUUUUGUGAUGUGCCUUUUAAUGGUGCAUUUUGAACACACAAAAAGUAUGGAGUUCAAAUAAGUUCAAAAAAAUGAAAUCCAUUUGUAAGAGAUGAGUUCUCGUUCGAAACCCUGAUACUUCGAGAGAGAUUGUCCGUUUUGUACACGAAGUGCAUCCAGUUCUUGUCGUAGCCCUCUCAACUUUUUAACACAUCCUAUGUGGGUGAAAUGAUGAUAGCAUGCCAACUUUCAACAUUUUCAGANNNNNNNNNNUUAUCAUAGUUUUGUCAAAUUCUCAAAUAUGCAAAAAUAAUUUUAAUAAACAUAGUUUUUAAUUGAAAAUAACAAAAUAGUUAAUAGUUUGGAUAGUCAAAAUAAUUAAUUUUGAAAAUAGAAAAUAGUUUUGAAUUAUUUAUUCAAUUUCACACACUUUUNNNNNNNNNNNNNNNNNNNNNNNNNNNNNNNNNNNNNNNNNNNNNNNNNNNNNNNNNNNNNNNNNNNNNNNNNNNNNNNNNAAAAAUAACAAAAUAUUAAUAGUUUGGAUAGUCAAAAUAAUUUAUUUGGAAAAUAGAAAAUAGUUUUGAAUUAUUUAUUCAAUUUCAAACACUUUUCAUUAUCAUAGUUUUGUCCAAUUCUCAAAUAUGCAAAAAGAAUUUUAAUAAACAUAGUUUUUAAUUGAAAAUAACAAAAUAGUUAAUUUUGAAAAUAGAAAAAAAUUGAAACUAUAUGAGAAUUUAUAGAGAAAAUUAAACCUAAAUUCAAAGUGACCUCACUUUGAAUUCAGGUUUAAUUUUCUCCAUAAUUUCAAAUAUAAUUUCAAUUUUUAAAUUUAAAGUCAGUUUAGGCCCGUAAGCGUGCUUUAGAGAGGAGCUCGAUGGAGAUGCUGCGACGAGGCUUAUAAACUAGUGUUAGUCCCCCUAGCUCGGGAGGUGGGACUAAACUUAUCGUGCAGCCAGCGGAGGGGCUUUAGUCCCGGGUGGAGCCACGACCCGAGACUAAAGCCCCUCGCCUGCCGCCUGCCGAGAACGGGCCUUUAGUCCCGGUUCGUGGCUCCACCCGGGACUAAAGGGUGUNNNNNNNNNNNNNNNNNNNNNNNNNNNNNNNNNNNNNNNNNNNNNNNNNNNNNNNNNNNNNNNNNNNNNNNNNNNNNNNNNNNNNNNNNNNNNNNNNNNNGUGCAGCAGGGAGCCGAGCCUCCCUCCAUCCCAGCACCACUGUCCGCGCCGGCCGCAACGUUAGAGGGUCCAGAUUCGGUCCCCACGGGCGCCACAACCAUGACCGCUCGCCCUCAGCGGCGCUCCCACCGCCGCGACCAGAUCAUGCGCCACACGUCGGAGACCUCCUCCACCGCGAGCUAGGACGCCGCCCUAGAGCCAAGCGCCGGUCAGCCGCCAACCACACGCCGUAUCCCCAUCCCACGAACGAGUGGCAGCCAGAGAGCGCACCGUCGCCGCCGGCUUCCGCGCAGGCUAUGCCUGCCGGAGGCCACCGGUGACGGCGAGGGGGAGAAGGAGGCGGAAGGGGAGAGGCUGUGGGGCUGGNNNNNNNNNNUGAGCUAGGACGCCGCCCCAGAGCAAAGCGCCGGUCAGCCGCCAACCACACGUCGUAUCCCCAUCCCACGAAUGAGCGGCAGCCAGAGAGCGCCCCACCGCCGCCGGAUCCGCGCAGGCUAUGCCUGCCGGAGGCCACCGGCGACGGCGAGGGGGAGAAGGAGGCGGAAGGGGAGAGGCUGUGGGGCUGGAGCCGCCGCCCGNNNNNNNNNNNNNNNNNNNNNNNNNNNNNNNNNNNNNNNNNNNNNNNNNNNNNNNNNNNNNNNNNNNNNNNNNNNNNNNNNNNNNNNNNNNNNNNNNNNNUGGAGGAGUCCUACUCCAAUCCUACUUGGAGUAGGAUUCCACCUUCCCACUUGGAAACUCUUUUCACCUUGUGUUUUUUCCUUCUCAAACCUUAUGGGCCUUAGUGGGAACUUAUUCCAGCCCACUAGGGGCUGGUUUAUCUCUUCCCAUAGCCCACGAGACCCCUUGGGGCGUGACACCCCUCCUGAUGGUCCCCGGCACCCCUCCCGGCACUCCCAGUACACUACCGAUGAGCCCGAAAUUUUUCCGGUAAUGCACGAAAACCUUCCGGUAACCAAAUGAGGUCAUCCUAUAUAUCAAUCUUCGUUUCCGGACCAUUCCGGAAACCCUCGUGACGUCCGUGAUCUCAUCCGGGACUCNNNNNNNNNNNNNNNNNNNNNNNNNNNNNNNNNNNNNNNNNNNNNNNNNNNNNNNNNNNCGAACCUUAAGUGUGCAGACCCUGCGGGUUCGAGAACUAUGUAGACAUGACCCGGGAGACUCCUUGGUCAAUAUCCAAUAGCGGGACCUGGAUGUCCAUAUUGGAUCCUACAUAUUCUACGAAGAUCUUAUCGUUUGAAGCUUAGUGCCAAGGAUUUAUAUAAUCCCGUAUGUCAUUCCCUUUGUCCUUCGGUAUGUUACUUGCCUGAGAUUCGAUCGUCAGUAUCCGCAUACCUAUUUCAAUCUCGUUUACCGNNNNNNNNNNAAGAGACUCCUCGGUCAAUAUACAAUAGCGGGACCUGGAUGCCCAUAUUGGAUCCUACAUAUUCUACGAAGAACUUAUCGUUUGAACCUCAGUGCCAAGGAUUCAUAUAAUCCCGUAUGUCAUUCCCUUUGUCCUUCGGUAUGUUACUUGCCCGAGAUUCGAUCGUCAGUAUCCGCAUACCUAUUUCAAUCUCGUUUACCGNNNNNNNNNNCACCUUCGGAGAUACCUGUAGAGCAUCUUUAUAGUCACCCAGUUACGUUGCGACGUUUGAUACNNNNNNNNNNGCAAGUCUCGUUACUCGCUCCGUAAUACAAGAUCCCGUAACUUACACUAAGUCACAUUGCUUGCAAGGCUUGUGUGUGAUGUUGUAUUACCGAGUGGGCCCCGAGAUACCUCUCCGUCAUACGGAGUGACAAAUCCCAGUCUUGAUCCAUACUAACUCAACGAAAACCUUCGGAGAUAUCUGUAGAGCAUCUUUAUAGUCACCCAGUUACGUUGCGACGUUUGAUACACACAAAGCAUUCCUCCGGUGUCUGUGAGUUAUAUGACCUCAUGGUCAUAGGAACAAAUACUUGACACGCAGAAAACAGUAGCAACAAAAUGACACGAUCAACAUGCUACGUCUAUUAGUUUGGGUCUAGUCCAUCACAUGAUUCUCCUAAUGAUGUGAUCCCGUUAUCAAGUGACAACACUUGCCUAUGGCCAGGAAACCUUGACCAUCUUUGAUCAACGAGCUAGUCAACUAGAGGCUUACUAGGGACAAUGUUUUGUCUAUGUAUCCACACAAGUAUUGUGUUUCCAAUCAAUACAAUUAUAGCAUGGAUAAUAAAUGAUUAUCAUGAAUAAAGAAAUAUAAUAAUAACUAAUUAUUAUUGCCUCUAGGGCAUAUUUCCAACAGUCUCCCACUUGCACUAGAGUCAAUAAUCUAGUUCACAUCACCAUGUGAUUUCAACGAAUCCAACACCCAUAUAGUUCUGGGGUCUGAUCACGUCUUGCUCGUGAGAGAGGUUUUAGUCAACGGUUCUGAAACUUUCAGAUCCGUGCGUUCUUUAGAAAUCUUUAUGUCAUCUUAUAGAUGCUGCUACUACGUGCUAUUCGAAAAUGCUCCAAAUAUCUACUCUACUAUACGAAUCCGUUUCACUACUCAUAGUUAUUUGGAUUAGUGUCAAAGCUUGCAUCGACGUAACCCUUUACGAAGUACUCUUUAACCACCUCCAUAAUCGAGAAAAAUGCCUUAGUCUAUUUAGUUACUAAGGAUAACUUUGACCGCUGAUCAGUGAUUCAAUCCUGGAUCACUCUGUGUACCUCUUAACAGACUUGCUGCAAGGCACACAUCAGGUGUGGUACUCAGCAUGGAUACUUUAGAGUCUACGGCUAAGGCAUAUAAGACGACCUUCAUCUAUUCUCUUUAUUCUGCCAUGGUCGGGUUUUGAGUCUUACUCAAAUUCACACCUUGCAACGCAACCAAGAACUCCUUCUUUGCUGAUCUAUUCUGAACUGUUGGGGAACGUCGCAUGGGAAACAAAAAUUUUCCUACGCGCACGAAGACCUAUCAUGGUGAUGUCCAUCUNNNNNNNNNNCGAUUAUCAUGAACUAAGAAAUAUAACAAUAACUAAUUUAUUAUUGCCUCUAGGGCAUAUUUCCAACAUGAACUCCUUCAAAAACUUGUCAAGGCAUGCAUCUUGUUGAAACUUCCAUUAAGCGCUUUUGAUCUAUCUCCAUAGAUCUUUGAUGCUCAACGUUCAAGUAGCGCAAUCCAGGUAUUCCUUUGAAAACUCCUUUCAAACAACCUUGUAUGCUUUACAGAAAUUCUACAUUACUUCUGAUCCACAAUAUGUCAACCACAUAUACUUAUCAGAAAUUCUAUAGUGCUCCCACUCACUUCUUUGGAAAUACAAGUUUCUCAUAAACCUUGUACAAACCCAAAAUCUUUGAUCAUCUCAUCAAAGUGUAUAUUCCAACUCCGAGAUGCUUGCACCAGUCCAUUGAAGGAUCGCUGGAGCUUGCAUACUUGCUAGUAUCCUUAGGAUCGACAAAACCUCCUGGUUGUAUCACAUAUAAUGUUUGCUCAAGGAAACCGUCGAGGAAACAAUGUUUUGACAUCCUAUGUGCAAUAUUUAAUAAAUAAUGCAGCAACUACUAACAUAACUCUAACAGACUUUUAGCAUCGCUACGAGUGAGAAAGUCUAAUCAUAGUCAACUGUUUGAUCUUGUCGGAAACAUCUUUGCGACAAGUCGAGCUUUUCUUAAUAGUGACUUAUCACCAUCAUCGUCUGUCUUCUUUUUAAAGAUCCAUCUUUACUCAACAUCCUAUGACCAUCAAGUAGUUCUUCCAAAGUCUACACUUUGUUUUCAUACAUGGAUCCUCUCUCGGAUUUCAUGGCUUCCAGCCAUUUGUCGGAAUCCGGGCCCACCAUUGCUUUCUCCAUAACUCGUAGGUUCACUGUUGCUCAACAACAUGACCUCCAAGACAGGGUUACCGUACCACUCUGCAGUAGUACGCGACCUUUUCAACCUACGAGGCUUGUAGUAACUUGAUCCGAUGCUCGAUGAUCACCAUCAUCAGCUUUCACUUCAAUUGGUGUAGGCGCCACAUGAACAACUUCCUGCGCCCUGCUACACACUGGUUGAAGUGAUGGUUCAAUAACCUCAUCAAGUUCUACCACCCUCCCACUCAAUUUUUUUCGAGAGAAACCUUUCCUCGAGAAAGGAUCCGUUUCUAGAAACAAACACUUUGCUUUCGGAUCUGAGAUAGGAGAUGUACCCAACUGUUUUGGAUAUCCUAUGAAGACGCAUUUAUCCGCUUUGGGUUCGAGCUUAUCAGACUGAAAAUUUUUCACAUAAGUGUCGAAGCCCCAAACUUUCAAGAAACGACAGUUUAGAUUUCGCUAAACCUGAGUGUAUACUGUGUCAUCUCAACGGAAAUACGCGGUGCCCUGUUUAAAGUGAAUGCGGUUGCCUCUAAUGCAUAACCCAUAAAUGAUAGUGGUAAUUCGAUAAGAGACAUCAUAGCAUGCACCAUACCAAAUAGUGCGUGGCUAUGACGUUCAGACACAUCAUCACACUAUGAUGUUCCAGGUGGCAUGAACUGCGAAACAAUUUCCACAUUGUCUUAACUGCGUACCAAAACUCGUAACUUAGAUAUUCAUUUCUAUGAUCAUAUCGUAGACAGUUUAUCCUCUUGUUACGACGAACUUCACUCCUGAAACAGAAUUGAACCUUUCAAUAUUUCAGACUUGUGAUUCAUUAAGUAAAUACUCUUGUAUCUGCUCAAAUCGUCACUGAAGUAAGAACAUAAUGAUAUCCACUGCGUGCCUCAGCACCUAUUGGACUGCAUACAUCAAACACUACUGGAAAUCAGUAUUUUGCCAUCUGCUAGCUGAUGGCAAAGAUUGUCUUUGCCGUCAGCUUCAGCAAAAUGCACGGCACAGUACUGGCUGAUGGCAUACAGUCUUUUUGCCAUCUGUCACCUCUUUGCCGUCUGCUAGCGGACGGCAAAUAGUCCAGAGGCAGACGGCAAAGAUGUAGAUAGGCCCACCUGACCGCGGGGUGGCUAGGUCAAACAGGAGUUGGACCUUUGCCGUCAGCUAGCGGACGGCAAAGAGUCCGGAGGCAGACGACAAAGAGUCUAGACUCUUUGCCGUCCGCCGGCGGACGGCAAAGCGCUAACUCCGUUAACGGCUCCUUCCCCCCCCCCCCCCCCCCNNNNNNNNNNNNNNNNNNNNNNNNNNNNNNNNNNNNNNNNNNNNNNNNNNNNNNNNNNNNNNNNNNNNNNNNNNNNNNNNNNNNNNNNNNNNNNNNNNNNCGGGCGGCGGCUCCAGCCCCACAGCCUCUCCCCUUCCGCCUCCUUCUCUCCCUCGCCGUCGCCGGUGGCCUCCGAGAGGCAUAGCCUGCACGGAGCCGCCGGCGGCGGGGCGCUCUCUCGCUGCCGCUCGUUCGUGGGAUGGGGAUACGGCGUGUGGUCGGCGGCUGACCGGCGCUUGGCUCUGGGGCGGCGUCCUGGCUCGCAGUGGAGGAGGUCUCCGACGUGUGGCGCAUGAUCUGGUCGCGGCGGUGGGCACACCGCUGAGGGCGAGCGUUCAUGGUUGUGGCGCCCGUGGGGACCCAAUCUGGACCCUCUAACGUUGCGGCCGACGCGGACAGUGGUGCUGGGAUGGAGGGAGGCUUGGCUCCCUGCUGCACAUCCUGGAGGGGCCCUUGCUGCGUUCCUCCUGCUUGGUGCCGUGGUGGUGCCGGCUGGUGGUUCGGUUGAUGGGUUGCGGAUCUGGCAGCUCGUUCGGCGAGUUGGGAUGGGGUGGUGACCCGCCCUCCCUGCUAAGGUCCUCUGUAGCUGAAGCGUGCGCCGACGGUGGUGGUCAUCUCCUCCGUCGAAGGUGGUCGGUCUGAGGCUGGAUGNNNNNNNNNNGGUGGUGGUGGUCAUCUCCUCCGUCGAAGGUGGUCGGUCUGAGGCUGGAUGNNNNNNNNNNAGCGAUGGUGGUCAUCUCCUCCGUCGAAGGUGGUCGGUCUGAGGCUGGAUUGUCAGAUCUCGAGAUCCGCCAUCUAGUUUCGGCUAUGAGUCGGGAAGACAUAGUUGCCAGUGAAAACCGAGACGAUGGUAGACGAUGGCGGCGUUCUGUGUCAUUACCUUGAUGAAGGCAUCUCGUGUAACUAUUGUCGACCCACUCGUGCUGCUCCGGGGGAAACCCUAGGAUCUGGUCUUCUAGAUCGGANNNNNNNNNNUGAGAUCCGUCAUCUAGUUUCGGCUAUGAGUCGGGAAGACAUAGUUGCCAGUGAGGUGGAGCGGCUUCAUCUUGCACGGAGCUUUUGGUGGAGAUGUCAAGUCAUGCCUGACCGACAGGUGCUACGCUAUGUCAUGCCUGGUCGGCAGGUGCUACGGACGACAGAUCUUCCAGAACCUUCGCGUCUGGACUGACGAGCGUGGGGCGGUGGCGCCGUUGGGCGUCGUGGUGGCCUCGACGGAUGGACGGACUGACAAGGAUGAUACAGAUCUCUCUCCUGAAGAUGGGUCAGCGGUUCGAUGAUGAUGGCGGGGUCUAAAAUGUGUGCAUGUGGUGUACUCUUUAGGUCUACUGCACCGGUUGUGGGUUUCGAUACAUUAUGUGGAUGGAUCGGUGACGGCUCCGAUUUUAUAUAUGGAGAGUGAGAGCACUCCACAUUAUCGAGUUUUGUAGGUGUGAGUGGUGGCUUCAGAUGGUUUAAUGUAUGUUCUUGUUAGAUCUAUGUUGAAUCAUAAUAAAGAUGACCGUAUGCAUCGAUUGAUGCAGAGACCGGGGGUUUAACCUCCUUUAUAUAUAUAUAUAUAUAUAUAUAUAUAUAUAUANNNNNNNNNNNNNNNNNNNNNNNNNNNNNNNNNNNNNNNNNNNNNNNNNNNNNNNNNNNNNNNNNNNNNNNNNNNNNNNNNNNNNNNNNNNNNNNNNNNNGGAUGCACUUCGUGUACAAGACGGACAAUCUCUCUCGAAGUAUCACGGUUUCGAACGAGAACUCAUCUCUUACUAAGGGAUUUCAUUUUUUUGAACUUAUUUGAACUCCAUACUUUUUGUGUGUUGAAAAUGCACCAUUCAANNNNNNNNNNNNNNNNNNNNNNNNNNNNNNNNNNNNNNNNNNNNNNNNNNNNNNNNNNNNNNNNNNNNNNNNNNNNNNNNNNNNNNNNNNNNNNNNNNNNNNNNNNNNNNNNNNNNNNNNNNNNNNNNNNNNNNNNNNNNNNNNNNNNNNNNNNNNNNNNNNNNNNNNNNNNNNNNNNNNNNNNNNNNNNNNNNNNNNNNNNNNNNNNNNNNNNNNNNNNNNNNNNNNNNNNNNNNNNNNNNNNNNNNNNNNNNNNNNNNNNNNNNNNNNNNNNNNNNNNNNNNNNNNNNNNNNNNNNNNNNNNNNNNNNNNNNNNNNNNNNNNNNNNNNNNNNNNNNNNNNNNNNNNNNNNNNNNNNNNNAAACUGGAUGCACUUCAUGUACAAAACGGACAAUCUCUCUCGAAGUAUCAGAGUUUCGAACGAGAACUCAUCUCUUACAAAGGUUUAUUAAAAUUCUUUUUGCAUAUUUGAGAAUUUGACAAAACUAUGAAAAUGAAAAGUGUUUGAAAUUGAAUAAAUAAUUCAAAACUAAAAGGUGUAGUACAUUCCAUACAUGCAUUACAUAAAAGGUUUAAUACAUUAUUACAUUAUUGCACCAAUAUUCCUAUCUAUUAUUUCUGUUUUCUUCUGGGUCGUAGCCAUGGAGAAUCUUCAUCAUUCAGUAGGAUGCUUGGGUCAGUUUUCACUUUGAAGGGCGAAUUUCAUGAAACUUAUUAUAAUCUACUGACAUGUCUGUCUUGUCAUCUACUCCCACGAUGUUUCUUUUCCCUCAAAGAACUAUGUGGUGUUUUGGCUCAUCGGACGAUAUCUUCUUUUGCUGAUUUAUUUUUCUCAUUUUUGUAGACAUGUUCUUCACAUAGAAAACCUGAGCGACAUCAUUGGCUAGGACAAAUGGUUCGUCCAUGUACCCAAGAUUGUUGAGAUCCACUGUUGUCAUGCCGUACUUUUGGUCUACAACUACCCCGCCUCCUGUCAGCUUCACCCAUUUGCACCGAAACAAAGGGAUCUUAAAAGUAGGUCCGUAGUCAAGUUCCCAUAUCUCCUCUAUGUACCCGUAAUAUGUUUCCAAACAGUGCCCAUUCUCGUCUGUUGCAUCAAAGCGGACACCACUAUUUUGGUUGGUGCUCUUUUUAUCUUGGGCAACCGUGUAAAAUGUAUUCCCAUUUAUCUCAUACCCUUUGAAAAUACAUAUAGUCGAAGAUGGUGGCCUGGCCAAACAGUACAGCUGAUCUCCAACGGUGUCGUCAUUCAUGAGAUGUGUCUGCAACCAACUGCCGAAAGUCUUCUCGUGUUCCCCUUUAAUCCAAGAGUCAGCCUUCCCCGGGUUUUCGGAGCGUAGAAUAUUCUUGUGUCUCACGAUAUACGGAGCCACCACGGUGGAAUUGUGUAGAACUGUGUAGUGUGCUUGAGAGAAAGAAUGCCCGUCCAUACAUACUUUUUCUUUCCUUCCUAGUGUGCCUUUUCCUGUGAGCCUACCCUCAUACCGAGAUUCAGGAACACCAAUCGACUUAAGGUCAGGAAGAAAGUCCACACAAAACUCAAUGACCUCCUCUGUUCCAUAGCCCUUGGAGAUGCUUCCUUCUGGCCUAGCACGGUUACGAACAUAUUUCUUUAAGACUCCCAUGAACCUCUCGAAGGGGAACAUAUUGUGUAGAAACACAGGACCGAGAAUUCUAAUCUCUUCGACUAGGUGAACUAGGAGGUGUGUCAUUAUAUUGAAGAAGGAUGGCGGGAACAACAACUCAAAGCUGACCAGACAUUGGACCACAUCAACCUGUAACCCUGAUAGACUUUCUCGAUCGAUUACCUUCUGAGAAAUUGCAUUGAGGAAUGCACAUACCUUCACAAUUGCCAGGCGAACAUUUUCCGAUAGAAUUCCCCUCAAUGCAACCGGAAGCAAUUGCGUCAUAAGCACGUGGCAGUCAUGAGACUUUAGGUUUUGGAAUUUUUUGUCUUUCAUAUUUAUGAUUCCCUUUAUAUUCGACGAGAAGCCAGUCGGGACCUUGAUACUGAAAAGGACUUCAAAGAAGAUUUCCUUCUCUUCCUUAUUAAGAGUGUAGCUGGCACGCCCUUGAAACUGCCCUGGAUGCAUGCCAUCUCUUCCUUUAUGACGUUCCUGGUCCUCCCGUGCUUCCGGUGUAUCUUUUGACUUCCCAUACAAGCCCAGGAAGCCUAGAAUAUUCACGCAGAGAUUCUUCAUCAGGUGCAUCACGUCGAUUGCCGAGCGGACCUCAUGGACUUUCCAGUAGGGUAGCUCCCAAAAUAUAGAUUUCUUCUUCCACAUGGGUACGCGCUUAUCAGGGCCGUUAGGAACAGGUUGGCUGCCAGGACCCUUUCCAAAGAUUACUUUUAAAUCUUUGACCAUAUCAAAUACUUCAGCACCAGUACGGAUGACAGGCUUCCCCCAGGGUUCUGCCUUGCCAUUGAAAUGCUUGCCUUUUUUCUUUAAGGGAUGCUUGGGCGGAAGAAAACGACGAUUGUACGGGUACACAUUCUUCCUACAUUUGUCCUGAUAUAUACUUUCUGUCUGAUCCAAACAGUGCGUGCAUGCAUUGUAUCCCUUGUUUGACUGUCCUGAAAUGUUACUAAGAGCAGGCCAAUCAUUGAUGGUUACGAAAAGCAACGCUCGAAGGUCAAAUUCCUCUUGUUUGUGCUCGUCCCACACACGUACACCUGGUUCGGCCCACAACUGUAAAAGUUCAUCAACUAAUGGCCUUAGGUACACAUCAAUAUCGUUGCCGGGUUGCUUUGGAUCUUGGAUAAGCACUGUCAUCAUAAUGAACUUCCGCUUCAUGCACAACCAAGGAGGAAGGUGGUAGAUACAUAGAGUAAUGGGCCAGGUGCUGUGACUGCAACUCUGCUCCCCAAAAGGAUUCAUGCCAUCUGUACUCAGACCUAACCAUAAGUUCCUUGCGUCAGCUGCAAAUCUCGGGAACUCUCUCUCGAUUUUUCUCCACUGCCGACCAUCAGCGGUGUGCCUCAACUUAUCGUCUUUCAUACGAUCUUCCAUGUGCCAUCGCAACAACUUCGCAUGAUCUUUAUUUCUGAACAGACUUUUCAACCGUGGUAUUAUAGGAGCAUACCACAUCACCUUGGCAGGAACCCUCUUCCUGGGUGGCUCGCCCUCAAUAUCACCAGGGUCAUCUUUUCUGAUCUUAUACCGCAAUGCAGUGCAUACCGGACAUUUAUCCAUGUUCUCGUACUUCUCACCGCGGUAGAGGAUGCAGUCAUUAGGGCAUGCAUGUAUCUUCUGCACGUCUAAUCCUAGAGGGCAGACAAGCUUCUUUGCUUCGUACGUGCUGGCGGGCAAUUCGUUCUUUCUUGGAAGCAUCUUCUUCAUCAGUACCAGCAACUUUUCGAAUGACGAGUCAGUCACACCGGCCUCUGCCUUCCACUUCAGCAAUUCCAGUGUGCUACCCAGCUUCUUCUGGCCAUCUUCACAAGUUGGGUACAACAAUUUGUUGUGGUCCUGUAACAUCUGCUCGAACUGCAACCUCUCCUUUUCUGUGUCGCAACCUCGCCGUGCAUCAGAAAUGACCCGGCCAAGAUCAUCAGCGGGCUCAUCUGGUUCCCGUUCUUCAUCCUGAUCUUCUUCUUCAUUGUCUUCCAUUGCGGUAUCAGCAUACUCAGGGAACAUAGAUCGGUAGUUGUCGUCAUCGUUCACUUCUUCUUCAUCUUCGUCUUCCAUCAUAACUCCUCUUUCUCCGUGCUUGGUCCAAACAUUAUAGCCCGACAUAAAACCGGACCGAAGCAGGUGGCUCUGAAUGACUCUUGAGGAAGUGUAAUCCUUCUCAUUCCGACAUUCAACACAUGGACAAAACAUAUAGCCACCACCAUGCUUGUUCGCAUCGGCUGCAUCUCGAAAAGAAUGCACGCCUUCUCUGUAAGCGGUUGUGCGUCGAUCACCGUACAUCCAUGGAUGGCUCAUCUGCGUUAUAUGAAAGUAUAUCAAAUACAAUCACGAUCCUAAAAAUUAGUACCGCACGGUCUAAACGAGGAAAUAUAGUUGCUAACCUUUUAGAAUAAGUAGAAAUAAAGAGGAAGAGGUUUAAGCGUGGCUCGAGCAUCUCCUAUCGUAGUUGUGUUCGGUGAACUGAAGCGGCAUCGCUCUAACACACAUUUCAACAAACACCUCUAGUGCAUAAAAAAAUGGAGAGCUAGCACACACCCACACUCUUCCAUCCAAGAAAAAUGCAAGGAAGAGGGGAGAGGGGGGUUGUGCUAUAUAUAGGCAGAGGACUUUAGUCCCGGUUUGAGACACAAACCGGGACUAAAGGUGGCGCACAUGCGGGCUGCACACCGCGUAGCCCUUUAGUCCCGGUUUGAGACACAAACCGGGACUAAAGGCUCCUUACGGUCCGGGACCAAAGCCUCGUGAGCGGCAUUGCAAUUUGGGGCGACGUGGUCGGGCCUUUAGUCCCGGCCCAGAGGGAGGCCGGGACUAAAGGGUCCAGGCCAAAGGCCCGUUUUCUACUAGUGGAACUGAACUAAUUCAACCAUCAGAUUUGCACCUCCCUACGAGCAAUCAACACACUGUUUUAUUAUAUUAAUCUCCCCAGAUUAUUAAGUGCUGCAAAGUCAACUUUAACCUACUGAAAUUAGGUGCAAGAAGAAAUAAAAAUGCAAAACUUAAUUAUGACCAAGAAAAGAAGAAGUCCAUAAUAUCCCACAUUCAACAGACGACAUCUUUAUAUAUCAUUGGUCUGUAAUUGUUUCCUAGUCCAGCCAUACAAAAGGAUUGUGAUUACAAUUCGUGGAAGCGUGUCAUUAUUCGUACUCCAAUUUAUAUUAUUUUCCAUAGGGCUGGAGCACCAAUUCUUUCUUCUUAGUUGUCGCCACAGUCGACAAACUGGUAGUUGACAGUGAGGUGGCCCUGCUGCAUACCCACUCCGUCGGUGUCGAUCUUGCUGAACACCGUGUCUAAGUCCAGGUCUAGACCGCCGUUGCUGCACUUGUCGACGAUCCUCGCCGUAAUCUGUGCCCCCGUCGCCGUGUUUGUCACCUAUGUAUGCAGAUUCAGACAGUAAACCCGGUAGCGAACACGUCAACAUGAUGAUGUUCAUGGAAUAGAGUAAAGAGGUUAUUCCUAACGGAAACCGUACAAAUCUAACAUUGGAAUUAUAUAGGCUUGUCAAAUCUGAGUUUUUUACGGCAGUUUAUAUUGACGCAGCGAUGACAAAUUUAGUGUGCAAACAUGACAAUUUCUAGAACUUACCUGGAUGCACUUGCCGCAAGAUGCCUGGCCGAUGGGCCCGGCGGGCCCGCAGAAGGCGGUCCAGCCGUACUUGGAGCGCCAGGCCAAGGACAUGCCGGCGUCCCAUGUGGCGCAGUAGACGCCGGCGGUGUUGAGGUCCCAGUUGUUCUUCUGCGGGCUGUAUAAGUUGUAGGUGGCGCGCACGUUGGACGCCGACUGCGCCGCGGCCAUGGCGGCCAACGCGCACAGCAGGACAGCCGCCAGUACCGCACGUCCGGCCAUCGUCGAUCUACUCUCCUUGGGAUCAGGCAGGAUGUGUAUACGUAUGCAAUGGUCAGUGGCAGCUUGGCGGCGAUCGAGAGGACGUCGGCCGGGGGCGAUGCGAGUAGCCUCUUCCGGCCGGGCCGGAGCAUUAUAUAGAGGGAGUUGAUCGAUGAAGCAGCGGCACGUACGGUGGACUUUUCUUUUUCCGUGUACAGUUUUUCCACAUCGAUCUCUGGAAGUGGAAUCAUGUGCAUGCGCCAACAAAAAGAAGAAGAAAUCCGGCCAUGGAUGAGCCAAGGAGGACGGAGACAUCUUCCACGCAGUAAAUGGAAUCAUGUGCAUGCGCCAACAAAACGAAGAAGAAAUCCAUGGAUGGGCCAAGGAGGACGGAGACAUCUUCCGCGCAUGCAGUUUGGCUGGCUCAUUUUGACCAGAAAUUUUGUGGAAACAAAACAGUUUCCUCUUAAACUCAUUGAUGCAUUUUCACGCAAUUCGGAUCUUUUUCCCUAUCCCUAUCGGUGCACAUAUUUUUGUACAUGUGUUCAGCUAAGCACCUUAUAUCCGGUCAGUCUUUCUUGUCGAUCAUGCUGAAUCAUACAAGUAGGAGUACUAGUCUAGCGCCAAUAACGGCCCCAUGAUCCUGUCCGCCCAGCUCAAGAAAGGGUGGCCGACAUGUUUGCUAGCUUGGGCUGUACCCGGAAAUAAACUUGAAGUGGAAGAAGCUGUGGAGAAUGCAUUACUGAAACAUGGGCUUCGCCCACUGUUUGCACCUUUGCCGAGAGUCAAAUCCGUAGGAAAAACCAUGUAGAGUACAGCUCUCACCAACAUGCCGGACUCGACAGAGGCAUGCAGUUGCUUUUUUUAUUUUUGACGGGCUGUUAUGCACCUUUUAAGGACACAGAGGCAUGCAGUUGCGGAGAGCCAGGUAAAGAAAACUUCAAACAAAAUAAGCUCGGAUUAUACUCCUUCCGUCCGAAAAUACUUGUCAUAGGAAUAGAUGUAUCUAGAUGUCGUGGGUAUAAGCCUGACAGUAGAUGUGUAGGGUACGAAUGAGAUGGGCAGAGUCCUAGCUACGGCGAGGUUGUAUGAGUUCAGGCCCCUCUGCGGUGGAGGUAACAGCCCUACGUCUCAGUGCUCUCGGAGCUUGUUACCGAGUGUGAUAUGGAGUACAAAGAUUUGCUAACCCUUUUACCAGUGGGGGAGGGCGGUUUAUAUAGAGUGCGCUGCCCUCCACAACGAUUCUGAUUCAAGGGUGGAGUAGUGACGAUUGAAUGCAUACGCUACAGGUAACGUAUGCUCUAAAUGCUAGUAAAUGCACCCGGAAACGUACAGCAGUUUCUCUCCACAGAGGUUACGACGCACCGAAUGUAUCCAGUCGGUAGGCCCGGUGCUCUCCGAAUGUUAGUCUCCGACUGGAUGAUUCUGGGCCAGUUACCGACUGGAUGAUGGGAGUACCUUAAUACAGUCGGGGCAUACUUAAGGUCCUGUCCCUUGUGUGGGGUAGUCUUUGGGUAGGACAUGUCGGGCAGGCCUAUGACCCUACCCUAGGACUAUGACCCCAUCAUUAGCCCCCGAAUGGAUUGGGGUUGAAACGUCGAAGCAGUGCUUGAGGUUCAAAUCCGACUGGACUAGGUUCGGCUUGGGCGUUGCUUGCCUCUAUCCAUUUUAUCUCCUCUCACCAAUGAUCCGAGUGAAGGUGUUUUGCGAAACAGACUGUCAGGAACCGAGUGCUUUCGCGGCAUCUUUUGAUGCGACCGGACAACUGACAGCGGCGGAUUUUUCGGGAUCUCAAAUUUCGGGUUCCGCGCGCUUAGCGGGGGCGACGUCAGCGCGCUCGAGUAGCGCCUGACUCCUCGAUCCUCGCACCUUCAACUCCUCCACUCAUAUCGCCGCGACUGGUUGGGAAGAUAAGAUUCUGGGCCCGUUCGCCAGCGACCCAUUCGGUGCUCUAUUUAACUCUGGGCGACGAGAUCCUUCGGUUACACUCGCCGAAUUCUUUGCUCUUGCUUGCUCUGUCUUCCUCGCCAUCUCCUGCGCCCAUACACCCUUCUCUUCUCCUCCUUCUCGAGAGCUCACCGUCGCCGCCAUGACCAAAGGUCAGACCAGCAAGAUGGAGGCGAGGAAGAAGAAGAAGACCAAGGCGGCGGCUGCUCAGCGGCGGCAGCGGCCGUUGCCGGCGGGGUGGAUCCAGGGAGACUUUCUCCCCUCCACGGUGACGGAGGGGGACCUGUUGGAGCUGGUAGAGCACGGCCAGCUCGUGCAUAAGUCCUGGAGGCUGCCGGCGGACGACGAGGUCGAGCCGGCGCCACGGGAGGGGGAGCGCGUCUUGCUCCUCAGCCAUGUUCACAGAGGUUUUUCUCUCCCCCCGCUUCCCUUCUUCAAAGGCAUCAUGAAUCAUUUUGGUGCUCAACUCCAUCACUUCCCUCCGAAUGCCAUCGCCCACCUUUCUGCCUUCAUUGUUUUGUGCGAAUGCUUUAUCGGUUGCCCCCCCAUUGGGGUUUAUUCAAACAUAUCUUCUCCGCCCGCUCUCAAACCAUCAAACGUUUUAGUCAGUCGGAUGACAAGACGCAUCUCCUCCAGCUCUGCGGGGGUUUAGGGUUUCAGAAGAAGAGUCGGAGCAGCUACCCUGCUCUCCAGUUGAGCGAGUCGGUUAGGAACUGGCAGUCGACGUGGUUCUACUGCCAGGACAUAGCAUGUCCGAACGCGUCGACAGGACUGCCUCCAUUUAGUCUUGACCGCCCUGCUCCGCCCAAACAACUCGCCCUCUCGAAAGCCGAGAAGAACGACAUCCAGCCUUUGGUCGAGGUACUCGUGGAUGUUGUCAGGAGGGGGGUCACCGGUAUUGACCUGUUGGAAGUCUUCAUCGGUCGGCGAAUCCAGCCUCUGCAGGCCCGCCACCAUGCUAUGUGGCACUACACAGGGCCCGAAGAUUCCACUCGGACCAACGUGGAGGGCAUUCUCGAGGAGAAGGUGACCUCAUGGGUGCUCCAAAUCACGGGUCCCUGUGAGAACCCCAAAGGAGCCCGCCGAGUGACGCCUUACAGCGCGGACAACCCUCCACCGGAUCAGGUGAGUAGCAUUAGCCGAGUGCAUUGAACUGUCUUGAUUUCAGUCGUUUAUUUAUAUUUCCAUGUGACGCUUAAUGUUUCCGACUGAACCUCAUGCAGGAGUGGACCAACUGGUCUUCCCCCGUCUCGAACGGGAAUCCGAAGGAGGAGGAGGAAGAAGGCAGCCAGGAGGGGAGCGUGGAGAGCGCCGAAUACGUCUUCGACAGCGGGGAGUCGGAGGAGGAAGACAACGAGGAAGAGGAAGAGGAUGAAGAGCCAGAUUCGCCACCUCCGCGGCCAGAGCAUCGGAGUAAGCGUCGGCAUGAGCCUGCCGUCCCUUCAGCCCCUCCUACGUCGUCGAGUGCUCCGCCUGCUGCCCCGGCGGUACCGAGUGUUCAAGGAAUCAAGAGGGCCAGGGACGCAGCCGCUGAACUUGCAGGCCAGUCCUCCAGGGCGCCCAAGCCGAGUGGGCCCAAACCUAGGAAGGCUCUGCCGCGGAUGAGGAUGGCCAUCCCCGUCACCUCCACGUAAGUGAGUCUGACUUUCAGUUCUUUCUGAUGACCGAGUGAACUCCUGCUUUACAAGUCGAAUGGACUUCACUCGACAGGGUUGCCACUUCUGCGACCUCGCUGGCCUGCCAAGGGGACGACCCCAUGGACACGGACGACGUCGUUUCGUCUCAACCAGGUAUGUUGUGGGAGAAUCGGGUAUUUUAUUCCUGUAGACUGCGCCAUCUUUUUCUUUUUCUGAGGCGUUAUGUUAUUUGGCUUGUCAGGGGCGAUCUGCCUGGACGAGGGUGAUCAGGGGAGAGCCGACCCCGUCGUGGAGCCUGUCCUAGAGCCUGUCCUGGAGCCUGUCCUUGAGGCCGCUCUUCCUGCUGCCGCCCCUGCCGUCAACGUUCCCCCGACCGAAGUGCCUCCACCGACUGAAGUGGCUCCACCGACUGAACCGGUACCGGUGGGUGAGGAACCUACUGGGGCGAACCUUGGGAUGCCCCAGGAACUUCCCACGAUUCCCGGUUCGUCUGAAUUCAGCAUUCGGUGUGUCCCAGAGGAGCAGGUGGGGGCGGCCAAGGGGGCCAUGAUCCAGGCGGAGCUGAUGGCCGGAGAGGCCAAGAGGGCUUAUGACUCCGUUGCGGCCUUGUACCGGCGGAGCUUGGAGCUGCGCGAUGACAUCCGAGUAAGUAGUCUAGUAAGUACUUACUUUUCUUCUGUAACUCACUGGAUGUUGUCUGCUGUUUGCAAUGGGUUCACUCCGAGUGAACCCAGUGGGUGUAGUCCCCGAGACUUCUGUCGAGUGCUUGCACCGACAGUUGUCUUUAUACAUUUGGUGUUUAGUUUAGUUGUGUCCGUAGAGAAUAUGUCCGAGUGCGAGUACUUAUUGCAGUCGGAGCACUCUUGCGGUAAGAGUCUCCGAGAGUAAGUUGCACGCAGGUGGAGUAGUAUUAGCCCGUGAGGCGUAGGUGAAAACAUGCAUCUCAAUAGGGCGGGCCUGCUUGAGGUGCAUGCCAGUGGGGUCACUCUCAGUGAACCCACUGGGUGUAGUCCCCGAGGCCGCUGUCGACUGCUUGCGUCGGCAGGGGUCUGAAGAACUUAUACUGUGUAUUGAGAAACUUGCUGAUUACCCUUUGUUUCGUGGUGUAGAAAACUUGUGAAAUGGGAACUGCUUACGAAGCCAUGAGGGCGGAGAGGAAGUAGUAUGCUGGUGAACUGGAAGCUGCAAUGCUCGCCAUGGCCGGCAUGAAGGACGUGCUGGAAGUUCGAGAGAAGUCUUUGGAGGAGGCGCUGGAGGCAAACAGGGCGUUGGUGGCGGAGGUGGAGAGACUGAAGAAACAGAGGACUGAACUGCACAAUCAAAUGGCUGUUCGGAACAAACGAUGGACAGCUCAGGAGAAGUAUGUCAACGACUGGGCUGUCCAGAUGAUGACUCGUCUGGCAGGUAAGUCUUAUGCUUUGUCGAGUGGUUGUACCGUGUGACGAGCACUCGGUUUUUACUGUCUGUUUGCUCGUUUGGUGCAGAUUUUUGUGGUGACGCCGAAGCUGAAGCGGCGGCUGUAGAGCGGUCCAUGAAGGACAAUGUGCCACUCGGCGAGGACGCCACCCGGGAUCUGCUCCGGGCGCAUAUCCGUGUAGGCAAAGUGGGUCCGUUCGUCAGCCGACUGAGAGAAGUCAUCGGCCGCAUUGAGAAGGAGCUUUGGCCGGAAGACGAGUCGCGGCAGGAGAUGGAGACUCUGUUAGGGCGACUGGAGGAGAUUCCGGACCGAGUGCAAUCCUGGAAGAAAUCGGCAGCGCGUUGCGGUGCUGACGUUGCGAUGUCCUUGGUCCGAGUCCAUUGCAAGGAGGUGCGAGAAGAUAAGCUGAAAGCAUUGAAGGUCGCCAACACGAAGAAGCUUCAAUUCGAAGACUUCAUGGAGACGUUCCUUGAGACUGCCACCCGCAUCGCCGAUGGAAUCGACUUGGACACUUUUGUGGAGCCCUCUAGUCCUGACGCCGGCCCAGCUGACGCGUGAUAAAACUUUAUCCUCGGUAUGCCGAGUGUUUACCUGUAAGAUACUGUGGCCACUUCUGUUGGCCGUCAUACUUUUAGAUCGGUGCGGGUAAUCUUGAUCCGCAGUGAGUCAGCUAUUGUUUUUAGACUUAUGUUGUCGGAAUGAAAACAUUUAGUCUUUUGUUGAAAUUUUGUUUCGAGUGGAACACUUAGUGCGUACUCGGAGAAGAUUAAGACUUAGGUGAUUCUUGGUCACGUCUAAGUCCCCGAGUGGGACUUGUAAUGCACACUCGGAAUAGAUUAAGACUUAGGCGAUUCAGGAUCGCAGCUAAGUCGCCGAGUGCGACGUAUAGUUCACGUUGGGAGGAAGUUAUUACUUAGGUGAUUCUUGAUCACAGCAAAGUCUCCGAGUGCGACGUAUAGUGCACACUCGGAGAAUGGUAAUACUUAGGCGAUUCGUGAUCACAGCUAAGUCCCCGAGUGCGACGUAUAGUGCACACUCGGAGGAGGUUAAUACUUAGGCGAUUCAGGAUCGCAGCUAAGUCUCCGAGUGGGACGUAUAGUGCACACUCGGAGGAAGGUUGGUACUUAGGUGAUUCUUGAUCACAUCUAAGUCCCCGAGUGCGACGUAUAGUGCACACUCGGAGGAAGUUAGAACUUAGGCGAUUCAGGACCGCAGCUAAGUCCCCGAGUGUGACGUAUAGUGCACACUCGGAGGUUGUUACUACUUAGGUGAUUCGUGAUCACAUCUAAGUCCCCGAGUGCGACGUAUAGUGCACACUCGGAGGAAGUUAGAACUUAGGCGAUCCAGGACCGCAGCUAAGUCUCCGAGUGCGACGUAUAGUGCACACUCGGAGGAAGGUAAGUACUUAGGUGAUUCUUGAUCACAUCUAAGUCCCCGAGUGUGACGUGUAGUGCACAGUCGGAGAAAGUUAAUACUUAGGCGAUGCUGGAUCGCAGCUAAGCCCCCGAGUGUGACGUGUAGUGCACACUCAGAGAAAGUUAAUACUUAGGCGAUUCAGGAUCGCAGCUAAGCCCCCGAGUGUGACGUGUAGUGCACACUCGGAGAAGGUUAAUACUUAGGCGAUUCUGGAUCACAGCUAAGUCCCCGAGUGCGACGUAUAGUGCACACUCGGAGGAAGUUAGUACUUAGGCGAUUCAGGAUCACAGCUAAGUUUUUGUGUGUGUGUGUGUGAGAACUCUGAAUCUGCACAAAACUGCAUCUGUUGAAUAUAUUAUUUCUUCAAACUUGUUCGUUACACUGCUUCAGUCGACGAUCACGUAUAAAAACGCUUGAGGAGAUCUCCAUUCCAUGCGCCCGACUCGUCUGUCUCCCUCUAAAUAUUGUAGAGUAUGUAUGCUCCGUUGUUCAGCAGCUUGGAAAUGAUCCGGAGCCAACUUGUGGGGUCUUUGCUGAUCCACUCGGAGCACUAAAUCACCAGCUUGAAAUGUGCGACUCCUGACGUGACGUGCGUGAAAGCGUCGCAGAUCUUGCUGGUAAAUUGUUGAGCGAGUGAGUGCCAUCUCGCGCUCCUCCUCUAGAAGAUCGACUCCAUCUUGCCUUGCUUGUUCCGCUUCGGCUUCGGAGAAGAGUUCGACUCGCGGGGCAUUGUGAAGCAGGUCACUCGGAAGGACCGCUUCUGCUCCAUAGACGAGGAAGAACGGCGAUCGCCCCGUUGAUCGGUUUGGAGUGGUGCGGAGGCCCCAAAGUACUGAAGGUAACUCGGUGACCCAUGCACCAGCAGCAUGUCCUACCUCUCGCAAGAGUCGAGGCUUCAAACCUUGAAGGAUAAGUCCAUUCGCACGCUCAGCUUGUCCAUUGGAUUGCGGAUGUGCUACGGAAGCAAAAUCCACUCGGAUACCCUGACUCGCACAGAAGCCUUUGAACCUGUCCAAGUCAAAGUUUGUCCCAUUGUCUGUGAUUAUGCUGUGAGGCACCCCGAAUCUGGAAAUGAUGUCCCUGUCAAACUUGACAGCUGUUGAGGCAUCGAGUUUCUUGAUGGGCUUGGCUUCUAUCCAUUUGGUAAAUUUGUCGACUGCCACCAACACAUGUGUGUAGCCUCCUUGGCCUGUCUUGAAUGGUCCGACUGUGUCUAAUCCCCAAACUGCAAAUGGCCACACAAGUGGGAUUGUCUUUAGCGCAGAUGUUGGCUUGUGGGACUUGUUGGAGUAGAACUGACAGCCUUCACAUCGGUCGACCAUAGCUUUGGCCAUCUCGUUAGCCUGCAGCCGGAAGAAUCCAGCUCUGAACGCCUUGGCGACGAUUGCUCUCGAAGAAGCGUGAUGGCCGCAGGUACCCGAGUGGAUAUCCUCUAGGAUCAACUGUCCUUCCUCUGGGGAAAUGCAACGUUGGAGGAUGCCUGAAACACUCUCUUGAACAACUGACCGUCAAUGACAGUGAAUGCCUUCGACCUGCGAACUAUUUGCCGGGCUUGGAAUUCAUCUUCUGGAAGUUCCUGUCUCAGGAUAUAUGCCACGAUCGGCACAGUCCAAUCGGGAAUGACUACUAGAAUCUCUGUGACUAGAUCAACCACAACAGGCACAUCGACUCCGGUCGGAUCUGUUGCUCUCUUGGGUUGUACUGGUUCUUCCGUGAAGGGAUCUUCUUUGACUGAAGGAAGAUGGAGGUGCUCGAGACAGACAUCACUCGGGACUGGUCUCCGAGUGGAUCCGAGUUUUGCCAACUCGUCAGCUGCUUGGUUCUUCAGUCUUGGAACAUGAUGAAGUUCUAGACCCUCAAACUUCUUCUCCAGCUUCCUGACUGCAUUGGAGUAUGUCGUCAUGGUGGGGUUCCUCACGUCCCACUCUUUCAUCACUUGAUUGACCACCAAAUCCGAAUCGCCAUAGACCAUCAGGCGACGGACGUCGAGUGAGAUGGCCAUGCGCAAUCCGUAGAGGAGAGCUUCAUACUCCGCCUCGUUGUUGGAGGAAUCAAAGUGUAUCUAGAGCACGUAUUUGAGCUUGUCGCCUUUGGGUGAUAUGAUCACAACACCAGCGCCGGAUCCAUUCAACAUCUUAGACCCAUCGAAGAACAUUGUCCAAUGAGCCGAGUAGAUGUGGGUCGGUUGCUGUUGUUCUACCCAUUCUGCUAUAAAGUCAGACAGGGCUUGAGACUUAAUAGCUUUCUUGGCCUCGAACUUGAUGUCACAGUACAACAUCUCCAUUGCCCACUUCGCCACUCGGCCUGACGCGUCUCGAUUGUGGAGAAUUUCCGACAAAGGAGCAUCAGAAACGACAAAUACCGAGUGGUCUUGGAAAUAAUGGGCCACCUUCUUCGCAGUCAUAUAGAUCCCAUAGAUAAGCUUCUGAUAAUGGGGAUACCUCUGCUUGGAAGGGGUCAGGACUUCGAAGACGUAGUACACUGGCCGCUGAACUUUGUAUGCUUUGCCUUCCUCUUCUUGCUCGACUGUAAGAACAGUACUAACGACUUGAUUUGUGGCCGCGAUAUAUAGAAGAAGGGGCUCUUUACUGAGCGGAGCAGUAAGAACCGGCUGGGUGGAAAGUAGGACUUUGAGGUCGUCGAAUGCGACUUGGGCUUUGUCUGUCCACUCGAAGGUAUCUGACUUCUUCAUGAGUCGGUACAGAGGAAGUGCUUUUUCGCCGAGUCGACUGAUAAACCUGCUCAAAGCCGCUAGGCAACCUGUGAGCCGUUGAACAUCGUGUAUUCUGACCGGCCUAUCCAUUCGGACGAUGGUCCCGAUCUUUUCGGGGUUAACAUCGAUCCCUCGUUCGGAAACAAAGAAACCGAGUAACUUUCCGCCGGGAACACCGAAUGAACAUUUGGCUGGGUUUAGCUUGAUAUCGUACCUACGAAGGUUGGCGAAUGUUUCUGCCAAGUCAGUCAGCAGGUCGGAACCUUUGCGUGACUUGACUACGAUAUCAUCCAUAUAUGCCUCCACAUUGCGACCGAUCUGGUCGAGGAGGCAUUUUUGGAUCAUGCGCAUAAAGGUAGCUCCUGCAUUCUUCAAACCGAAAGGCAUAGUGAUGUAGCAGAAGCACCCAAACGGGGUGAUGAAGGCUGUUUUCAACUCAUCGGGACCAUACAGACGGAUCUGAUGAUAACCCGAGUAGGCAUCAAGGAAUGACAAACGCUCGCAUCCCGCAGUCGAAUCGACAAUUUGAUCUAUGCGGGGCAGCGGAAAAUGGUCUUUCGGGCAGACCUUAUUGAGGUGCUUGAAGUCAAUGCACAUUCGGAGUGACUUGUCCUUCUUGGGCACCAUGACGACAUUGGCGAGCCACUCAGAGUGGUGAACCUCACGAAUGAAGUUGGCAGCCAGCAGCUUGGCCACCUCUUCUCUGAUUGCCUUCCUCUUGUGCGCGGCGGACCGACGCAGGCGCUCUCGGACGGGCCGAGAGACGGGAUCCACAUGCAGUCGGUGCUCAGCCAACUCCCUGGGAACACCCGGCAUGUCAGAAGGCUUCCAUGCAAAGAUGUCCCAGUUCUCACGGAGGAAUUGGGUGAGCUCGGCUUCCUAUUUAGGAUCGAGGGUGGUGGAGAUGUUCGUCAGGGCGGCAGACUCGUCCAUUGGGUGGAUGCUGAUUUUCUUCGUCUCUCCCGCCGACUGGAACGCGGACUCAGAAGCUGGUUUCUUCGAGCGCAUCAGGUCGGCAGGGUCGACUGUCUUCUUGUAUUCGUCGAGCUUGAGCACCGCCAUCUGAUGGUCGGCGAUUCUUGAUCCUUCUUGCAGACACUCCUCGGCUCGCUGGCGGUUGCCGGUGAUGGUGAUAACGCCUUUUGGGCCCGACAUCUUCAGCUUCAAGUACACAUAGCACGGGCGUGCCAUGAAACUCACGUACGCCGGGCGGCCCAGAAUUGCAUGGUAAGCACUCUGGAAAUCCACCACCUCGAAUGUGAGCUUCUCCUUGCGAAAGUUUUUGUCGGAGCCGAAAGUGACGUCCAACGCGAUCUGGCCGAGUGACUUGGCCUUCCGCCCGGGGACGACUCUGUGGAACUGCAUAUUGCUCUCGCUGAGUCUGGACAUCGGGAUGCCCAUUCCCUUGAGGGUGUCAGCGUACAUGAUGUUCAGUCCGCUACCGUCGUCCAUGAGGACUUUGCGCAGUCGGACUCCUUCCACUACUGGGCCGACGACCAGAGCCUGUCUUCCUGGAGUGGGGACAUGCGUUGGAUGAUCCGACUGAUCAAAGGUGAUCGCAGUCUGAGACCAUCUAAGGAACUUGGGAGCAGUCGGAACGGCCAUGUUGACCUCUCUGUUCACUAACUUCAGACGACUCUUGCUUUCGACAUCAGCAAAAAUCAUGAGGGUUGCAUGGACAUGGGGGAACGGAUCCUCCUUGUCUUCCUCGUCCUGCUCGGGAUUCUUCUCACUCGAUUGUCCUUCGCUGAACCCCUGGAUCAGGAGACGACACUGCCGAGUGGUAUGCUUCGCGUAUAUGGGAUUGCCUUCUUCGUCCAUCUUCGUGUGUAUUGGACAAGGCUGAUCCAGGAUGGGAUUAUUGAACGGCUUCUUCUUGGGGGUAAACUGCGCUUUCCCUUUGCCCUUGAACUUGGCACUGGUUACAGCUGCAGCUUCUGCUUGCGGUGUGGGCGGAACCUUCUGUUUCUGCUUCCGAGUGUUACCUCCGUCGGUAUCGUCGACUGUCUUGUGUUUGCCGCUCCGGAUGCGGUCUUCUUCCUCGCCAUUUGCAUAACGAGUAGCUAUCUCCAUCAUCUUGCUCAUGGAGAUGUCGCCUAUCCGGCCAAACUUUAGGUACAACUCUCUGUACCAUACUCCUGCCUUGAAUGCGCAGACUGCUUGAUGCUCGGUGACGCUCUCCACCGUGUGAUAAAGAGUCGUCCAUCGCUGGAUGAAGUCGCGCAAGGGCUCAUUCGGCUUUUGGACACAAUGUUGAAGCUCCACAAGGCCUGCAGGGCAUUUGCACGUCCCUUCGAAGGUCCUGAUGAACACUCGGGCAAGAUCUACCCAACUGUAAAUGCUUGAGGGGGCUAGCUGGUUCAUCCAAGCUCGCGCCGAGCCGUCGAGCAUCAGAGGGAGGUGCUUCAUAGCGACAUAGUCGUCCCCUCCUCCGAUCUGGACUGCCACUCGGUAAUCGUCUAGCCAUGUUUGGGCUUGGACUCCCCUGUAAAUUUAUCGAUUCCCGCAGCCAAUCGGAAGUUGGGCGGGAUGUCAGCCGAGCGGAUGGCUCGACUAAAACACUCGGGGCAGGACACGAUGGUCCUGCUGCCACUUGGACGAUCCAGAUCGUGGCCAUCGCGGUGGGCUCGACCCCUGUCGACUCUUCGCUGGGUGAUUCGCCCUCUUGCCUCGGGUCUCGGGUCGUAAGUGUCGCCGACUGAACGCCGAUCAUCAUGAUGUCGGGACCCAUAGGGCCCACCCCGCAGAGGGGUGCGUGAACGGCGGCGAUCUUCACAGAUCAUGGAACGACUGCCUCCCCUGUGGUGCUGAUAGGAGCCGGGGCUGUGAACCGACCGAUGCGUGUUUGCACGGGCGGAACUGUUGUGGAUCCAAUUGUGCGACUCGGAGACUGCCGAAUUCUGCUGCUGCGCCAUGUGCAACAGAGCACGGAUCUGCUCGAUUCCUCUUCCUGCCUCUGAAUCAGUCGGCUGGAGGGAAUCGGCGAUCUUGGCUGCCGCAGCCAAGUUGAGGAGAGGUGUGCGGAACAACUCUACGUUGCUCUGCCGGGUGUGCCGACUGGCAGAACGGCGAGGCGGACGGCGUGCACCGGAUGCUUCACCGACUUCGCGCUCGUUCCGGCCGGCCUGAUGGGGAUCUUCAUGGGUGUUGGCCAUGUGAACUUCUGCUGCAGGUCCGCGGCCCACGUACUCGGAAGGGAACUCAGUCGGAACCGAGCCCGAGCACUGGGGACGCGGGGCAACUACAACAGACUCCAGAACCGCCACUUGAGAGGACGCGAACUGGCGCGCUCGGGCAUGCUGCACCCAACGUUGUAGACGCGGACUGCGAGAUCGCCUGUUGCGGCGCGUGACGAAGGUGCAAGCCGGCAAUGGAGCUGAUUGUUGGAGAAGAAGAAUGCCGCGAGCGCCGGCACGGAAGUGCGUGGCCCCGCGACGGGGAAGCGCCUCGACGUCGAGAGGUGCCUCCCGAAGCCACGCCGAAUCGUCGACGACGAAGGAGAGAGCGCCGAAGAGGAUCUGGUGACCCAUGCUCGAACCUCCACCGGACGACAUGACGAAAGGAAGUAGUCGCAAACUCGCCGGAAGUCGCUUAGACGCCUGCCCCACGGUGGGCGCCAACUGUCGUGGGUAUAAGCCUGACAGUAGAUGUGUAGGGUACGAAUGAGAUGGGCAGAGUCCUAGCUACGACGAGGUUGUAUGAGUUCAGGCCCCUCUGCGGUGGAGGUAACAACCCUACGUCUCAAUGCUCUCGGAGCUUGUUACCGAGUGUGAUAUGGAGUACAAAGAUUUGCUAACCCUUUUACCAGUGGGGGAGGGCGGCUUAUAUAGAGUGCGCUGCCCUCCACAACGGUUCUGAUUCAAGGGUGGAGUAGUGACGAUUGAAUGCAUACGUUACAAGUAACGUAUGCUCUAAAUGCUAGUAAAUGCACCCGGAAACGUCCAGCAGUUUCUCUCCACAGAGGUUACGACGCACCGAAUGUAUCCAGUCGGUAGGCCCGGUGCUCUCCGAAUGUUAGUCUCCGACUGGAUGAUUCUGGGCCAGUUACCGACUGGAUGAUGGGAGUACCUUAAUACAGUCGGGGCAUACUUAAGGUCCUGUCCCUUGUGUGGGGUAGUCUUUGGGUAGGACAUGUCGGGCAGGCCUAUGACCCUACCCUAGGACUAUGACCCCAUCACUAGAUGUAUUUUAAUUCCGUCGAAGCCUGCCACUAAACCGACCUACACCCCGCACCAACACGGUCUUGAAGCUCCCACGACGUCUCACCACGGCACCGUAAGGAGAGGCCUGCACAACGACGAAAAGGAGUUGGGACUAGGAACAGAAACACUGUCAGCAUGCGGGAGGGCUCAACCUCCACCGUCAACGAUGGUAGUCGACCACACGCAAUAGUAGGAGCAUAUCAGGCCCGACCGGGACCUCUGCCCGUAAAACUCCCGCCAUCGUGCUGCAACAGGCACGUCGUUGGCGAUGCCGCCUCACGUCCAAGCCGCUCCUCCGCAAGACCACCCCUUCGGGUUGUAGUGCCGCGACACAUGUUUUUCGCCGUCGCCCAUGCCAUCCCCGUGGCUGCACCAACCCACGCACCGCCGCUACGCCGCCCCUUCUGGCCGUAGCGUCGUGGCACGCGGCCUGCGCAGCUGGCCCAAGGUCUUCCCACCGUCGCCCCGGCCGCGUGCUGCCGGUGCGUCGCCCCUUCGGGCCGUAGCACCGCGGCCCGCAGUCCACUCCAUCAUCCCCGCGGUCCACUCCGCCGUCCCCGCAUGUUGACUUCCUAUGGUAUGCGUUUCGUCGUCCCCCUCGGUGCGGGUACGCCACCGUCUGUGCCGGUCUUCGUCAUGUUGUUGGGUUCUUCCUUGCCUACUUUGAGCAUCGCCGCUGCGCUGCUAACCAGCUGUCGGCGCCACUGCAGCUCGCUCACCCGAGUCGCACCGCCUGUCCACCACCUUCAUCUCCGUCCAGCACCAGCUUAUCGCUACUAUCACCGUCAUCUUCCCCUACCACUUCGUCUACUCCGACUACCGCAGUUAUCAUCGGCCCCUGCCGAUUUGCGCCGGAAGUGUCGUCGAGUCCUUCUCUGCUAGCCUCCUUGACAUGGCGUACCAGCUUAUGCAUGCCCGGUGCUGGCAAGACCAACGUGUGUGUUCGUCCCAGGUGUGUUCCCAGGCUUGGAAAGCCCGGAGAGACGCAUCGUCAACAUCGCAUUAGUCCGUCUAUGCAUGCCCGGUGCUGGCAACACCGAUGCAUGCCUUCACCAAUGAUACGUCCCCGGGCUUGGCAAACCCAUCGCGGUGCGUCUCAACUACGUCUUCUUCCUAGUGCACUAGUACUUCGACACCACCUCGCCCACGACUAACUCGGCGCCUCCUUGUGCCCGCGGCUCCACGACGACUUACUCGACACCGGCUACCCCGACUCGACAUCGACCACGGCGUUCUUCGCACGGCUACCUCGACCACGGCUACACCACCAUACGCUCUCAGCUACCUCGACAUCGGCACAAAGGGAUACCGCCUUGCUUGAGCACCCUCGUCGGUUUCUAUUCCAGCCACAACUUCUGCGAUGCAUCGACCGUUACGACUGUGGGGGGAUGACCGUCGGCUUACCUUCGGAUUCUUCUCCAGUCUCACCGUCUGCGUCGCUACCUUUGUGGCUGCAGAAGGAUGUUGAGUAUAUUGGUUAUUAGGAAAUAUCAAAUAGACUAGGAUUUGUCAUACACGCCAAGUUGAUCAUUAUACUCCUAUAUAUAUAUAUGACCAUGAGGCUCAAGCAAUAAACAAUAAUUUCACCAUUCAUUCUCUCCCUUCUAGCUGUUAUAAACAUCGAUCAUAAGCUCCGAUCAUGGAUGCAUUAUAUUCAGGUUCAGGAGAGAGAAUUCCUAUAUGAUGAAAUCCUAUGAAUCAGGCGACCAAUGUAGAAAAAAAACUCCUAAGAAUUCAAAUCAGAUGAAAAUUCUUUGAAUCAAAGGGGCCCUUAACCACCCGGAAAAAAGGGGCCCUUAACGUGUUAGUGGAUGACUCCUAAUUUGGUUUGGCAACAUUAGCGCUCAGGGUUGACAAAACAGUACGAUCUGUCGGUCCACCUCGUGGCCCGCUUGGUCCAGGCCCGAAUGAAAAAAAAUGCCAGUCCGGUCCCUAAAAUAUGCACCCAAAAAAGUGGACCAAGCGAACCGUAGAACAAUGGGUGAACGGCCGACGUAGCGGGGGCGUGGCGGGAGUGUGUCGGUGGCGUGGCAUGGGCGUAGGAAACCGUAGUCAUCUACGACCACCGCCAUGGGGCCGUCGUCCGCGUGGCCACUGGACCCUUUGCCCCUGGAAACCAUGUCCACGGGAUGCGUCCACUCGGAUACGUCGUCUCCACCAAUGAAAUUGACGUGAGAGGUUCUACAUCGCUGCACGGCCAUCAUCCCUUUUAUCUGCGGCCAUCGUCCAUCGUGCCCAAUUCGUCUAUGAUGAGCCCUUCUGGUGAUCUUCUUGGUUCUUCAAGCUCCCACUGGUUCCUCUGAAGCUUCCGGACACCUCGUCAAUGAGAUGUGCUUCCUCUAGCGUUGCAUCCCCGAUGAUCAGCCGCCGUCAAAGCUCCAGUGCCCGCUCUGCCCUUGUCUCUUGGCUGGUCCUCUCGGCCCGGCCUGAGCUUCUUCAUUGCCGGCCUAGUCCUUGAAAAUAGGACGGCCAUCCUCCUAGGUCCGGUCCGGACCGGACCGCCGGAGGCCGGUCAAAUCGAUGGCUCGGACCGAGACCGGACCGCCCAGACCGUGUACACCCCUAAUUGGCUCCACCUAGCAAAUCUUAGGUUUCAUGCUUGCACCAAGUAUAUUGGCAUUGACUAUGACCUUGUGAGAGAAAGAGCUGCUAAGAACCUUCUUGACACUCGGUUCAGUCCUUGUACGGUCAUGUUAAAAAUGGCGUCACGAAAUAAAAGCCAUACCAUAAGAAUGUAAAAAGGGUUCAAGCACAAACUCAGACCAUGCGAGUUGUAACCGAAAGAAGUUAUUAAUUAUAACAUGCUAACAAAUUGUACUUCUUGAUGUACACGAGUGAUUAUUGGUUAGAGAUGAAACCGAAGUAUAUACUGAAUAGGACCAAAAGGUUGUUGAUCAAGGCUGUAAAAAUUCAAACCAUGCAAGCUGGCCAAGGCUAAUGCUCUCUAUUAAUAAAAAACCACACGACCACUAUGGGCGUCGGAACAAUUCAACCAAUCACCAAAGUUUACAGUGCCAUUCCCAAGUUGGAGACCGAUAACUCCCGUUAGUUGUAUCAACUUGGACACUAAUAUAGUGACAGAUUUUUUUCCCGGUUAGGUAUAGAAUUUGUUGCCAGCUGCUAUUACUCUAGAAGGAAAUACUGGAUCCAAAAUGUUCUACAGGAAUUCCGACAAUGAUUAACAUUAGAUGUAACAUGAUAUUUUUUAUCAAAUUUAAUUAUCUUUGACCUUAUUUGGAUUCAUGAGUUAGAGUUAGAGUUGGUUAGAUUGAACUGAACUAACCACAAAACAUCCAAACAGGAGGGUUAGAGUUGGUUAGAUUCAUCUAACCCAUCCAAAAGAACUAACCAUCCAAGAGAUGCUUAUUUGGGUUAGAGUUAGGUGAACUCAUAAAAAGUUACUUUUUCCUCUACCUCCACCAUAUCAAAUCCUGGUUAAAGGAGUCAAACGAUUGGAAAAAUGCAUUUAUUGACAAUCUAGCCUUGUCAUCCAAACAUCUAUUUAGUUAGAGUUAGUUCAGGGUUAGUUUUAAAAUCUAACUCUAAACUCUAACCGAGUUAAAGUAUCCAAACAGGGACUUUAUUUAUCACGGAAGCAUGUGUUGUGCUAUUGUCGUGUACUAGUUUUCUCAUUGAUAUGGACAGCACCGAAAGUAGUGAGUAUAACAAAACUAAGCGCCACGCCUUUUCCGGUUAAGCAUGUGGGCUGCGUCUUUCAGGUCACCGAUUAGUGUACUAACUAUAGAAUAUAUAAAAGUGUUGGGCUUUCCAAGUCACAUAUUAGUGUGCUAACUAUUGAAAAUAAGAGCAUGUCUCACGGGUAGGUAAAAACUACUCCCUCAUACUUUUUUGAAGAAUAGAUGUAUCUUGAUUUAUUUUAGUUCUAGAUACAUACAUUUCUAUUCAUUUUUGUGUCAAGUAAUUUCAGACGAAGGGAGUAGUUUUGUGCAAGUGCGCUGGUUUAACGCACUUCCUUUUUGAAUCACAGAGCUUUCAUAACUCAAAUAGGGGUGUUACAAUCGAGCUGCUAGCCUCCUGUUUACUAAUCCAGGGGCAACGCCUCCUGUUACUAAUAGCUCCAGCAGUAUGGUAAUAACAGUAUGGUAAGGUUAACUAAACAAAAAGUUAACGAGGGUACCAACUAAACCCUACUCCCUCCGUUCCUAAAUAUAAAUCCUUUCACUAUGGACUACAUACCAAGCAAAAUGAAUAAAUCUAUACUUUAAAAUAUGUCGAUAUACAACUGUAUAUAGUUUACAGUAAAAAAAAUAAAAGGUCUUAUAUUUUAAAACGGAAGGAGUAGCUAGCUAGCAUGAGUUGGCAUCUCAAUCUCAUGUUGGCGUUUAUUUUACUGAAUGAGCAUUGAGCAGACGAAUCUUUUGUGGUGAACAACGUGGAGGGGGCGUGCGUUUGAAAAGAUCUGGAGUAGCAGUGAGCAUCUUAGCUUAGUUUACAAUCUCGGGGUAAGAGAAAGUUGUCUUUAACUCUGCAAGUAGAGCAACUUGACCCAAAAUUAACUGCUUAAUUACAGCUGGCCGAUGUAACUAUGCUAGUUAGCUUUGCUAUAAGGCCGUGAGAGUGCAGCAUCACUCAGCUUACAUUGUUUCCGCUUUCAUACACACAAGCUUACCAUUUGAAACCAUGGAGGUGGCUCUGGUGAGUGCAGUGACGGGAGCCUUGAAACCCGUCCUGGCAAAGCUGGGCGCUUUGGCUGGCGACGAGUACAAGCGGUUCAAGGGUGUGCGUGGCGAUAUCGAGUCGCUCACCCGUGAACUUGCCGCAAUGGAAGCUUUUCUUCUGAAGAUGUCGGAAGAGGAGGACCCUGAAGUUCAGGAUAAGGUGUGGAUGAAUGAGGUUCGGGAGCUCUCAUAUGAUAUGGAGGACUCUAUUGACGACUUCAUGAAAAGUGUUGACAACGGAGAUACGAAGCCAGAUGGAUUUUUGGAGAAGUUGAAGAGCUCAUUGGGGAAGUUGGGAAAGAUGAAAGCUCGUCGCCGGAUCGGCAACGAGAUUGCAGAUCUAAAGAAGCAGACCAUCGAGGUGGCUGCGAGGAAUGCAAGGUACAAGGCUCGUGAGGCCUUCUCCANAUUUAUUUCCUUAUAGGUUUAUGUCCAUUUUAUUUGAGUUGGUACAAAAAGUAAUGCUGGAGUACCUAAAAAAAGUAAUAGUCAAAUAUUUGUAGUCAAGUGCAUGUUGAUGCCAAGUAAAUAAAAAAAAGAGAGGACCAAAAACCACAUACCAUACGAACUUCGUUUGUGAUUCAUAUCCUUCUGCUUACCUAUUGUAUUAANNNNNNNNNNNNNNNNNNNNNNNNNNNNNNNNNNNNNNNNNNNNNNNNNNNNNNNNNNNNNNNNNNNNNNNNNNNNNNNNNNNNNNNNNNNNNNNNNNNNGCGUCGUCGAACAUGGUCCGGACGUAGGGCGGCGGGGUGGCGAAUUGUACGUCCAACCAUACUGCAGAAGUAGGUGGCGCACCACCCGCGGGCAAAUCAGCUGCCCUCGCAACGAAGAUGGGUUCCAGGUCAAUGGUUUCGCAUUGCGCCGUUGGUGCUGACUUUGCUGCCAUGGCACCAUCUUCCAUCGAGCCACCCUAUGUCGAGAAAUCAACGGUAAAAGUACCGCCCGUGCCCGCUGUCUCGUGCCUCCAGUCCUAGCUUGGUUUCUCGUCGAACACACAUUGCGAGACAGCGUGCACCCGGGGCUGCAGGUGUCCUUCACAUGGUUGUGAUGCCACUUGUCGCUUCUCAACACUAUGAAUCAGCUUUCAGGAGAGAGGAAUUUUACGAAGCGUAAGACUUGUUGUUUUCUAUUUACUUUCCCCCUUUUAUUGCUUAACAGAGACACUUCAUGCCGCAAUCCCGGUGCUCCUCUCACGAUCGAGCACGCAGUCCACAACUCCUAUAAAUUUUCCAUGGAUCCCACUGAACGUGUCUUGCGGGAAACAACUAACUAACCUAACGAAAGAAGUAUUGGGUGCAACCGGUGGCAGACGGUCACACGGGUUAUCUUCGACCGAUUUGGAUGGCGAGCUAUUAAUAGGCUAGGUGUAUAGUCAUCGUAGCCUAUUGCUGGUUUCGUCGGCUGUGGCAGUCUUUAUUUACUUCCAGAUUUGUGUUUAUGCUCAGAUUGUGAGCUCUUUUCAAACCUAUGACUCUACUCUUGGAUUUUAUUAAUAAUACAGCUGCACGCAUCGAUUGAUGCAGAAGCCGGGCGGCUUUGUUCCUCCUUUUGAAAAAAAAUUGAAAGUGAAAAAAAGAGUUGUCGUGAAAACCAGAGCUAGCUUAUUGUGCAACACGCCCAACAUGCAUGGAUCUAGGGGGGCUCCCUGUUCUCGUCUACCCUGGGGCUUUUUUCCUUAGGCCUCCUCCAGCAAUGGCUUGUGAAGGAUGUGCGUCAGAGAAGCUUUUUAUAGGUUGGGUUGGGUUGGGGGGGGGCUCCGAAGCCACCAGAUGGACCCUAGAAGCAUCAUAGGGUUCCCUGCAAUGUUCAUUGCAAUUGCCUUUAACCAUCUUAUCGGCUCACUUCUUUUGCUAAGUCUUUUAGCGCAAACCAUUUUUUGGAGUGGGUUAUCUCAUUCCCAGUUUUGGACGGGCCAUGCCAUGCACGUUACCAUCUGUCUCUUCCACCCUUCUCCUUCAGUGCUCCGCUAGCUCAAUAUUCAGAAGGCCUCGGCCGCUGUCCCGACCUCGUGUGAUUGUGCGCGUCAUCACAAUGUAGUCACUCAAACAGAAGAAAAAUUAGUUUGGAGUUGAGUGGUCCGAUAAAUCUUUAGUGGGAAUCUAAGGAACAAAAAUAUAGUUCUUGAGUAGAAAUGAACCUUUCCAUAAAAUAGUAUGUACUUUUUCUUGAUUUUAAAUCACAGGAUAUUUGGAUCCACACCUAGCUAGACUCCUUAUUUAUUUACUUAUUUAUUUUCAUGACCACCUGAUCAAUAACAUAUUGUUUUUGUCAACCUCUUGUUUGGUCACACUUUGCUCUUUUCCGUGGUAACGAGUCAUGUUUAACCUGUGUGUAUCGCCCAACUCUUCAUAAUGUGUCAAACUAAUUAGCAUAUACCAAUAUAGGCACAAGAUUGAGUCAACAACAUAUGCAAAUUUAACACUUGUGUCAACUUUCUUAUUUAAUUAGGGGUAUACAUACAUAUGGUCAGAUCAGAUCGCAUCUGGCCCCCGCGCCGCUCCCUCCCCGGAGCGACACGGGCGGCGGCUCCAGCCCCACAGCCUCUCCCCUUCCGCCUCCUUCUCCCCCUCGCCGUCGCCGGUGGCCUCCGGCAGGCAUAGCC